AAACUCCAAGGUAUGUAUAUAUAUAUAUAUAUAUUUGUAGCAUGCACAUAUAUAAUAGAUUCUUAACCCAAUUAUCUAUUAUUACAGUACAUUGCAAAUUAAAGGAAAUGGUUUUUCGUCCAAUAUGUUUGUUAAUUAUAUGCUUCUUCUUCCUAAAAACAAAAUGGUUCCCACGGCUCUAUAUGUCUGUGUGCCUACGACAUAUGCAUUUCUUCUCUACAAAUUUAAUAAUAUAUCUAAAAUGUGCCCAACAAAAAACUCAGAUCUCAACAGACAACUUAAACAAACAUGAUGGAUACUGUAAUAAUAGAUAAACAUAUCUCAACAGACUAACUUAAAAAAAAAAAAAAAAAACUCUGAUUUUAUUACUCACUUGACUUCAAAGAGGAUGGAUACGGCACUGCCAACGUAGAGGAGUGGAGACGAAAUGGAGAGGUCCGGUGAAAACAAAGCUGAAAUCAGAAAGGAGUGGAGAAGCAUUCACCGGAGUUGGAGUCGAAACUAAAACAGAGACCCGUGCAGAAAAAAUGGAGAGGUUCAAUGGAAAAGUUGAAAUCAGAAAAUAGUGGAGAGUCGUGGAGAAGAAAUGGAUGGAAGUGGAGAAGAAAUGGACGGAAGAGAAGAAACGGUCACCGGAGACACCAAAAGUUGAUGGAACUGCAGAGACGGGAGAGUUCAAAUGCGGGAGGUUCAAGUUUACGUUUUUUUUUUUUAACAUUGUUCUUUGUUUUUAGGUUGAAGAAAAUGACAAAGAAAAGAGGAAUGAGGAAAUUAAAUGAGGGUAUUUUUGUCAUUUCACCUCUAAUUUGUCCUAAAUGUCAGCUUUUUUAGAAUCAAUCCUAAAAAUCUUUAUCUACCCUAUUUUUGGCCUAUUUUUGUCAAUUCCCCAACAUUCUUGAUGUAAUUUUAAUCCUAAAGUACUUGAUAAACUUUAAGAGAUAUUUAGAUAUGAUUAGAAAAGCGUUUAGAAAAAUAAAGAUAGAAAUGCAAUUUUAAUCAUCGAGUUAUUAAUGUAUGAUUUUUAACUUGUUACUUCUUAUGCUUAGCUCAAUUGAUUAGAAAAACUAACCAAUUGUCUUAAAUAUCAACUUAGCCAAUAUAAUUAGAUGAGGGGCAUCUUGAUCAAGUUAACUAAUCGCAUUACUAUUUAGGAAUUAUGCUAGUAUAAAUUUCUAAUAGGAAAAGCCUAAUUAGAAAUUUAAUAUGGUUUUUCCUAGGUCAACAGAACAAUGCUCUUUGUUGUUAACCACAAAUCACAAGAAUAUCUAACAUAUUGCUUAUUGGUAUAUCACCUAUUAUACAUUAAUUUAAAGAAUGGAAUUGCACAAUCGAACAUUGGUUGUCCACCAAUAACAAAAAAUUGUAAUUCAUAAUAACUAAUAAAUCAAGAGUAAUAUCAAUUAAGUCAAAAUACUUCUUUUAAAAAAAUACAACUGGUUCCUCUAGAAUUCUCAGAACUAGAUAGAACAAAGAUCUUACCUUCCCAUAAUGGUGGACAAGAUAAAGACCUACAUCCUUUUUGCUCGAUUAUAGAGAUAAGAGAUGAAAUAAAACCUAAAAGAAAAAAUAAUGUUAUAGAUGAAUAGAAGGCGAAAAAUGAAGAAAAGAUGAGUCAUUUACUAAAAACGAUCAACUAAAUCAAAGGAUAUGAUUUAAAAACCAAAGCUACCAAUUUAUAUCAUCAUGAUGGUGGCGUUGUGCUACCGAUUUGUUGGACUUUGAAUUGAUCUAUUUUAUCUUCAUUUUCUUCAAAGGUUCGAUUCUACCUAUUUAAUGUUUGAAACCUAUAAAAUAAUCAAACAAACACAUAAAAAUAAAACAAUAUCAAAUUAAGUAGAGUUGGGAAGCAUAUUUUCAGUUCCAUCACCGGCAACCACUUUUGUGAUUGGUAUUGGAUUGUGAUGCAAAAUGUCAUUAGGUUGAAAGACUUGAUUGAUUAAUAAACUUUUUUUAAAUUGAAUAAUUCAACUUCCAUUUCUCUUUUCAAAUGUGUGUAAAGGACACAAAAAUUCAAAAAGAGCAAAAAAGAAAUCAAACAUUGGAUUGAAAAGGGAUAAAACACACCACAUCAUUUGAAGAAAGGAGAUUAUAAGGAGAACAUAAGGUCUUGAAGCUCUAAAGAAUAUUACAUGCGAUUUUUGAUAGAGACCUCCAACCACUUCGAGUAACGCAUAAAAAUCUCUAAAAUUUCUUAUAUAAAUACUAUUAAUAUGUGUAAUUUUAGUUUUAUAAUAAUUUGAACUAUUGCAGGUUAAGUCUAUCAAAUUUAAAUCCCAAGUCUACCUCUAGUGAAUAAAGUUAACCAACCUAAAAAUGAAAAUCUUACUAAAAACCAAUUUCGUACUUUAGAAAUACUAUUUUAUAAUGGAACCCGGUUUUGUGUAUGAAAUUGAAAUUCUAACAAAUUAAAAAGAAAAUGAUAAUAUAUAUUGUUUUUGUUGAGAAGUAACCGUUACUUCCAAGAAAGAAAAAAGCAAUUAAUUUGCAAUAUGUAUUCAUUUAAUAAGAUAAAAACAUUAUCAUUAUGUUCAAUUUUGGUGAAAUGGAAGAAUAUAAGCCAUUCAUUUCUUAAGCGCAAACCUCCAAAACCCCCCCAAAUUCUUGUGCUCUUUCUAGAACCCUCUACUCCAUCUCCAUAAACCCUUACCCCAACCCUCAACAAGGGUUUACUGGAAUUCACCUUCUCCUUAACUCUUAUCUCUUCUUCACACGCCUUCAUGGCUCCAGCUCUCGCCAGAACUUUAUCCACUCUUGCUCUUUCUUCACUCCCUCUACCAAGCGGUGGUACUCGCUUGAGUUUGACAACUGCUUUUCUGCCUCAAAAUGGCUUCAGAAAGGGCGUUUCUUGUGCUGGGUUGAAGUGGAAGAUUGAGAAGAAGAGUAAUCGGAUUGCUGUUAGGUGUGAGGCGGCUGUUGCUGAGAAAGAAGCUGCUGAGUCUCCUGGUGAGAAGUUUGAGUACCAAGCCGAGGUGGGUCUUUGUUUCUGUUGACGGAAAAUGGAGAGGACUUGGGAAAUGGUGUUAAAAGAUUGGAGUUUUUUUUUCUUCUUCUUCUUUUUAUGGGUUUUGAGUUUCUUGACUUGGUGUUUCUUGAAACAUCAAUUUCCUAAUAUGUGUUUGGUUUUUGUGGUGACAUUAUCAAGCUUAUGGUAUGUUUAGUCAUGGGUUUUCGUGUAUUGAUAAUGUGAACGUAUUGAAUGAUUGCAGGUUAGUCGUCUUCUGGAUUUGAUUGUUCACAGCCUUUAUAGCCACAAGGAGGUGUUUCUUCGAGAGCUAGUGAGGUAAUGAAUUUCGAUAUGUACUGAUUCUGAAAUUUAAUUCAUUUCUUUCUCUGUGGCGAAAAAGAAGGGUCUCCCAACCUUCUGGUUUUAUCCUGUAAUUUUUUUUUUACUUUAAAAGUUAUAUACGAUUAUCUUUAAGGAAGCAAGAAAAUGUCCAUGCAUUGGAGUGGAUUUCCAUGAAUGUGGUUUAAUUUAUUUUUUGAUCUUUAUAUUAAUUUUGUUUUUUUAAUAAUUCUCUAGUAACGCGAGUGACGCUUUAGACAAGCUAAGAUUCUUGAGCGUAACGGAGCCCUCCCUACUUGGAGAUGCUGGGGACCUUGAAAUACGUAUUAAACCUGAUGCAGAUAGUGGUACUAUCACCAUAACGUAUGAAAAUUUUCUUAGAUCUUUCACAGUUAUACAUUUCGUUGGGACUGAAUUUAGUUGUACUAAAAUUGGGCUUUUGUGUUUUCAGAGAUACUGGUAUUGGAAUGGCUAAAGAGGAGCUCAUUGACUGUCUUGGAACUAUUGCUCAGAGUGGGACUUCGAGAUUCUUGAAAGCCCUGAAGGUUAUCUCCUCCCUCCAUUUAUAUUAUUUCAUCAUGAUAUUUUGCACAUCUUAAGUUCCUUUGGGGUUUCUAUGCUCAAUUCCUUUUCCUCUUCCAUUUAUACUCAUUUCAUUAUGAUAUUUUGCACAUCUUAUGUUCCUUCGGGGUUUCUAUGGCCAAUGAAGGUGAAGUUAAAUGUUUAAACAUAACUACUCUUUCAGGAAAAUAAGGAGGCUGGAGCAGAUAACAGCUUGAUUGGUCAAUUUGGUGUUGGGUUCUAUUCAGCCUUCCUUGUUGCUGAAAAGGUAGAGUUACAUUUUGCGUUGACAAAAUAACUAAUUCCCAACUGAAACAAGCUUGAUUCUGAACUUUUUUCUGCUAAGAGUCUCAUUUUGCCUAUCUUCUGCAAUUACGGGAUCCUGUCCAAACAGGUUGUUGUAUCCACUAAGAGUCCAAAAUCAGACAAACAGUAUGUCUGGGAAGCAGAAGCUGACAGUAGUUCAUAUGUUAUUAGGGAAGAAACUGAUCCUGAAAAACUUCUACAGCGGGGAACACAGAUCACCCUCUACUUGAGGGUAUGCAAUCUUCUUUAUCUCUUCUAUCACACCACAUUUGGGAAGUCUUCUCAUGUUUUUUUGGAACUGCUAAGAAACUCUGAAUUUUUAGGAGUGAUUGGUAGAACACAAUUUAGAUGAAUACGCUAAUUGCUGCAAUAUUGCUUUACUUUCUUUGUUACAAGUUGCAUAAAUCUUUAUUAUUCCCUGUUAUAAAUGGGAUCCCUUUUUGUAUCUUUUGGAUCAAUUCAUUGAAUUAACGAAAUUGUUUCUUUAAAGAAAUAAAAAAGAAACCAUGUUAAGGAGGAAAAGUAACAGUGUUUUUUUUUUUUUUUUAAUAAGCGAUUGGUGUUUUUUUUUAAUUUAAGAAAAAAAUAUUGUAUAGACAGUUGAUUAGGCAUUCAUGGUUCACGUUGUUUUAGUGACAAGGUGAUGACUGAUGUGUGAUGCCAUUAAAUAACCAUCUCUGAUGCUAUUCAAUCAUUUUAUAGUCUUAUUCUCAUUUUGCAGGAAGAUGACAAGUAUGAAUUCUCUGAUCCUACUAGAAUACAAGGUUUGGUCAAGAAUUAUUCACAGUUCGUUUCCUUCCCCAUCUACACAUGGCAAGAGAAAUCAAGAACUGUUGAGGUAUGAUUGCUAUGCAUUUACACUUGUUUUGUAUGAACAGUCCAUGAAAAUUGAUUGGGUGUUGUUUUUUUUUAUUAAAUGAGUUUAAUCUUUCAGAUUUCUACUUCCUCAAAAGUUUUAUCCAAAAUUAUUUUAUAAUCCUCUAAUUUUGGUUAUUUAUUCUACUUUUGGGGCAUUCUUUGAGUUUUUUUGUAGUCUAUACUUUCUUGAUGUGAUUAUCAUUUAGGAUAAACUGGCUUGUGUAUCACUUUUAAUUAUCAUGAUAUCUAUUACAAUUUAUACUGAAUGGAGCUCUGGGGCAGGUGGAAGAAGAAGAAGAACCAAAAGAAGGCGAAGAACCAAAACCAGAGGUAACAAAAUCUUAGUCUGGAGGUUUGCCCUAUUCUCCGAGAUCAAAGUACUUAAUGGGUUUCUUGUUUUUCAGGGUGAGAAGAAAAAGAAGACAAAAACUGAGAAGUAUUGGGACUGGGAAUUGGCUAAUGAAACAAAGCCAAUUUGGGUUAGUUGAAGAGAUAUCUACUUUAGAUGGUUCUGAAGAAAUGACUAUUGUUUCUGUACUUGUUAUAUAUUUUGUUGCAACUAUGCAUCUUUUUAGUCCCUUAUUCUGUUGAUUUGCUUAUGCAGAUGCGGAGCCCAAAAGAAGUUGAGAGGAGUGAGUACAAUGAGUUCUAUGGGAAGGCAUUUAAUGAGUUUUUAGACCCUCUUGCGUAUACUCACUUCACCACGGAGGUAUAGUCAGUUCUUUGGUUUAAUUAAUAUAGUUCUAUGCUUUGUUAAAGGAGUACUAAUUUCAUUUCUACCACUGCAGGGCGAAGUGGAAUUCAGGAGCGUUCUUUAUAUUCCUGGAAUGGGACCUUUGAAUAAUGAGGAUGUUGUGAAUCCUAAAACAAAGAAUAUUCGCUUGUAUGUUAAGCGUGUCUUCAUCUCUGAUGAUUUUGAUGGUGAGCUGGUGAGUAUAUUUAUCUGAUUUUGUUAUUGGGGUUUGUGUCAGACUCAUCUGAUUUUGAAACAAUUCUAACCCUCAAUCUUUUGGAUUUCAACUUCUCAUUUUAAUCCAUAUAGAAUCCAGUAACAUAUAAAAUAAUUUUAUAGAGCAACUAAACUUCUCGCUUUUUUCUACAAUAUGUGGAAAGUUAAUGCGAAUUUCUCAUGCAGCACAAUUAUAUCUUAACUUGAGUUUCUUUCAACGGUGGAACUAUAUCUUACAUAUGCUUUGCAGUUUCCUCGGUAUUUGAGCUUUGUGAAAGGUGUGGUUGAUUCUGAUGACCUCCCCUUGAAUGUUUCUCGAGAAAUUCUCCAAGAAAGCCGAAUUGUAAGUUUUUCUGAACAUAAAAUGAUAGUUUCUUGUGAAAGGCUGACAUAGAUGUUGUAAUAAGCCAAUUAUAUUUUCUCUUACAUCCUCUCUGGUUUUCUAUUCGUUCCUAGAAGCCUGAAACCCCAAGAUCCAUCUGUUUCAACAUUUUUGUUUUACAUUUCAAUGCUGUUCCAUAGGUAUAAUUUGUUGUAAUAAGCCACGGAAGAUCCAUGAUAUGCAAGAGAGGAACAGGGUAUGAUGUGUGUGCAUGCACUUACCAAUUCUCACAAACUCACUUAUCUGCACUAGCCAUGUGGCCUUUUCCUUAUUUAGCUAGUGGGUCCUACAAAUGUGGCAUAACAUUCGUCCUUCACUCUAUAAUAAUGGCAUUGAGAAAAUUUGUAAGAUAUUAACGUUCUUAAUAGUUGGCACUAGGAAUUGAACUCGUUAAACUUUGGGUUUUAAAACAUUAUCAAUCAACUGUGUGAUUUUGUUUUCAUUUUGAUUGCUGAUCAAUUUUACGGGCAACUUGUUUCCAAUUAUUUGAUAUGGUUGAUGAUUCUGCUCCUAUAACACAUUUUCCAGGUGAGAAUUAUGAGGAAGAGACUUGUCAGAAAAACAUUUGACAUGAUUCAAGACCUCUCCGAAAGUGAAAAUAAAGAGGUUUGUAGCUUUAAUGCCAAAUCUGGUUUAUGUUAAAUAUUUUUGUACCGUGUAAUCUGGACAAAGAAAAUUUCAUCUUCAGGAUUACAAGAAAUUCUGGGAGAAUUUUGGCCGGUUCUUAAAAUUGGGAUGCAUUGAGGAUACUGGAAAUCACAAGCGCAUCACACCAUUAUUGCGGUUUUACACCUCCAAAAGUGAAGAGGAGCUGAAGAGCUUGGAUGACUAUGUAGAGAACAUGGGUGAGAAUCAGAAAGCAAUUUACUACUUAGCAACUGACAGCUUAAAGAGUGCUAAGAGUGCUCCAUUCUUGGAGAAGUUGCUUCAAAAAGAUAUUGAGGUAAACUUUUUGCCGAACUGCUUUUAUGCUGUGAAACUCUCUCAAAGGCAACGGUAUUAGUUAUAAUAGGUAAUUGUCAGUGAUGCAAUUGUGCUAACUAUUUUCUACGUUGAUAAACUUUCUCAUAUAAGAAAUACUUCUAUAAGUUUGAGUUAAAGAGAAUGCAUCGAUAAUAAAUGUUGUUUGUCUUUGACCAACCAUAUUCUAGAUUUAAUGUUGGGUUGUUUUUGUUUUUUUAGGUUCUUUACUUGAUUGAACCUAUCGAUGAAGUUGCUAUCCAGAACUUACAGACAUACAAAGAGAAAAAAUUUGUUGAUAUUAGCAAGGAAGAUUUAGAGCUGGGUUUGUUCUUUUUUCCCUAUUAUUUGGUUUUGAAAUUAGCUGAUGACCAGUAGAGGAUUUUAUUCUAUUCCAGUGAAAAAGCAGGGGUUUUUCCUCUGAGAUUUACAAAUAAUUGCGUUCUUGUACCAGGCGAUGAGGAUGAAGUUCAAGAAAGAGAAACUAAGCAAGAUUUCCAAGUCCUUUGUGACUGGAUCAAGCAACAACUAGGUGACAAGGUCGCAAAAGUUCAAAUCUCAAAGCGCUUAAGCUCUUCUCCGUGUGUCCUAGUUUCUGGCAAGUUUGGAUGGUCUGCAAAUAUGGAAAGGUUAGUUUUUAUAUCUAAUCUAGAUGUGGACGGAUGAGUUUCCUUCUUACAGAUGAAAAUAUCAAGAAUACUACCCUUAUUCCAAUUUGGCUUCUUCCUUUCCUGGUGACAUUGUAAUGAACAGUCAUUGUACACCAAUAGUCUUUCAGAUUUAGCUUUUACUAUUUGAUCAUAUAAUUAAACAAGCCCAUAAACUCCUACCAAAUUGUAUCUUUAAACAUCCUCCAACCAGUUGAAUGCCUUAAUUUUUUUACUUCGAAACAAAAUUUGUGGAUUUCACUUGUGACAAUGUUCAUUGAAAUUUUCCUUCUCGCUUCAGGUUGAUGAAGGCGCAGGCCCUUGGAGAUACUUCAAGUUUGGAGUUCAUGAGAGGAAGGAGAAUUUUGGAGAUUAAUCCCGACCAUCCAAUCAUCAAGGAUCUAAAUGUAAGACUUCUAAAUGAUCUUGAUAUAUUGAGUGGAAAUAGACAUUUGUUAGUCUAAACUAGUGGAUAUUCGUUCUUUUCAAUCAGUUAGGAUAUGACAUGGGUUUAUAUGUUUUUGCUCCCCCUAAAAUCAAGCCAAUUCAAAGUUUGCUAAAACAUCUGGAAAUUGACUGCUUGCUUGUGUUAUGGGAUGCACUUACUCAUUUACUGAUAGAUUAAGUGGCUUGAGUAAGGAUUUUAUUACCGUCAGAAACUAUAAUUAUAUUUUUCUAUACAGUUAGAAGUGUAUUGACUCAUAGUGUUGCUUUAUAGGCUGCUUGCAAAAAUUCACCAGAUAGCAGCGACGCUACGAGAGCAGUUGAUCUUCUAUACGAGACAGCAUUGAUAUCCAGUGGAUUCUCUGUAAGGGAAAAUUCAAUUAGAUCGAUUAUUUUCAAGACUUAAUGAAUUUGAUUGAUGUCUUACUGUGUUGUCAUUGCUUAUCCAAAUGCAGCCCGAUAGCCCAGCUGAAUUAGGUAACAAAAUCUACGAGAUGAUGGCGAUGGCUCUAGGAGGUAGAUGGGGUAGAUUGGAAGACGCUGCUGAUGCUGAAGAUGCUGCUGAAUCUGACGGCGCUGAAGCACCAGAAGUGCAAGUAAUUGAGCCCUCAGAAGUGAGGGCGGAGGACGAUCCAUGGCAGGAUUAGGAUUGAGUGAACCUUGGCUAGAUUUUAGAAGCUUUUUGACAACCAUGUGGAAGAGGGAAAUGUGGUGUAUGGAGAGCAGUUUGGGGGAUUCAUUUUACUGGGCAAAGUUAUAAUUGAUAGAUAUGUUGGAAUGUAUGAUUUUGAUGAUUCAGUUAAUCCCUAGGCAGUGGGAAUAAAAAUGCAAACGAUCCACAAUUCUUAAUUAUAGUGCAAUUAUAAUCUUACGGUUUCAAAUGAUUCAGCCUCAAUGUUUCUUAUAAAGUCAGUUUGAAUUGGAUAGAGACAAGAAUGAAGAAACCAACAUAUAUAUUAGAAGACUAGAGUUCACAUACAGAGUGCUAGAUCUUAAAUUUUAAUGGAGAAGUGCAAAACAAGGGCACAAUUUAGAUGAUAUCUCAUUCUCAAAAUAUAAAUAAUCUGAUUUCUUUCAUAAUCUUGUUGAAGAUAGCAGCAGCCUCUUUUCUGAUCGAUUACCAUAUUGUCUGUUUUGUGCAGCAAGUCUUUGCCUUUGUAUUAUUCUCAACACUUGCAUUGAAACACAGGAAAAUGUGUCAACCGUUCGGGGUUUUCAUCCCUACAUAUACCUUCAUGCCAAGACUUCAGUCUGACUUCUCAUCCUUUUUCCAUGUUUACAAGCUUGUUGGCGAAAUCUGCCUGUCGGACUUGGGAGAAAUGAAAGUUGCAUUAUUCCCUAUUGGCACAUGCUAACUUACCCUAUACAACUUUGAAUCAUGUAAAGGCAAAAGCAAAAUUAGAGUUCUGCUCUGGUGUUGCAUUGUGGAUUAGAACCUGUGAAAGUCAGAUGUAGCCAAUUGAAGGAUUAACUUUCAACAUUUAGAUUUGUAAAUUGUUUUAAAGGAAAAGAGUUAUGGGUGAACUUGAAUAAAUAGUACCAUCAACAUCUUGACCACUGGAGGGUGCGGAGACAUCAAAGUUCAUUGGGACAACAUUGUGGAGUUCAUUCUCCCAUCGGUUUGGCAGCUGCAAAAGCCAUAUGUAUGUUAUCAGAGCAAGAACAGGAAGAACAGAAGUGUUUUGUCGUAUUGAAGAGAUUUCAUGUCAACAUCAAUUUCUAAGUUCCAAAAUUCAUAGGCAAGUCAAUCUGAAUUAGGAACACAAAAACUUCACGUUUAACCAAAACAACUCAAAAUAUGGUUUGAGCAUUUAUGAAAGAGAUUGAGUAGGAGUACAAUCAAAGUAAUUUAGCUCGGGAUGCUUGAAGAAAACCUGAACAGGCUCCUUGAAUCCACCAACAAGUGAUGUCAGCUGGGAAUUAAUUGCUCUUCGUAGCAGGUCCGGAGAGCUCCCCAUUGUAGGAAGACAAGGCGGAAUAAGUCCAUGGUGAGACGAAUGUUGAGGGAGGUAAGGCACGGGCAUAUCAGGAGGAAAACCAAACAGGGAUGGACCAGCCUUGGAUUGAAUGAACUGUUCACAGAAAGAGAAAUAAUAAUAACUUCAAAUAGGAAAAGUAAAAAUGUUUCAUACAUCACUAGAUUCCAGUAGUUGGCUUACUUCUUUUGUGAGGAGCUCUUCGAUGUUAAAAUCGAGCCUGGGAUUAACUGUUGCAAGUUUCAUUGACAAAAACUGCAUAAGACGGGUCAAGAUAUAAUUUAACACAUGCUAAAAGCAAGUCCAGAAUAUUGUGGGAAUUAGAACAUACAAAAUAGACCCAAUAAGAUAGGUGAAUACAUUAAUUGAGUUAGAAACUUAUGCUGAGCUGAGUGGAACCUAUUGGAAAUCUAGUUCAUUGAAAGGGAAGCUCGGUUUCUUUUACCAUUACCUCAACUUGUCGUUGCAGUGACUGUACAUAGUUAAUGAUUUCAUCAAGCAUUACAGCUUUGCCGGUGACCUGCAACGGCAGUAGAUUUCAGGACAUAGAGACAAGUGCACGAAAUGAAUGGUUCAUGAAUUAGACUCACAAACCUUACUACACCCAGGCACAAGGUCCUGAAGGAGCCUCAUUCUUUCACUUAUCUUUUCUCUUCUAACCUGUGAAGGCAACAUUAUUUAAACAAAGUCCCUUUCCCUAUAUUAAACUUGUUUGUACUCAACUUGAAAAAUGGUGAAAUGUAGAUCUUAACCCUUUCAGCAAGACUAUGGCUGUUGGUUGCCUGUCCUCUUCGAGCUCUAACAUGAAUGUAUUCUUCUUUGGGAGCAUCUGAUGGUUGAGAAUCUUGUUUUCCUUGCUUCCCAGCAGGCUUGCUAGUAGUAGAACUUGGGUUUUGGCCUCCCUUCUGCUGAUUAAAUGCUCCGUUCUUUGCAGUUUCAUUGAUUUGUUGCGGAGCUUCUUUAACUUGUCCAAGUCCCACAUUCUAACCAAUUCAAAUAUUAAAGUCAAAGAAAUAAAAGGUAACCUCACACCUCAAUUUCACACACACAAGAGAAAAGACAUUCUAAUAGUUUACCUGCUCACCCCUUUUCCUUUUCUUAAAGCACAGUCCUUCUGUAGAUGGUUCUGUCAUGGUACCUCCCAUCGUGCAUUGCUCAUCUUGACCACCGCUGAACCCAGCUUCAUCAGAAUCAUUGCCAGACUCACCAACACAACCCUGUUUAGCCCGGUCUUGAGACAUUUCACUGUCUUUCUCAUUCUUAGGUGGACUCUUUUCUUCAGCCUCAAGUUCCAUGGGCAAAGAUACAUCUUUGGAGACUCCAUUUCUUGAAAUAACUUCUUGCCUUCCAAAUCCACCCCCAGAAUGAAUGCCUAAAGAGUCUGAAAUGCCGAAUGGACCUGCAGGCGGAGCCCCAAAAACUCCGUUAUUGAAGCAGGAGAACCUUGCUGCACGUUCUAUGAAUGCUGAAUCAGCUGGAAGUUGAGACAAAUUAGGUGGAAAUAUUCCAGGAACGUUUCCUGAAAAAACUCCUUUCAUCCAUGGAUUUUGUUGGUUCCAAUCCAUACCCAGUGUUCUAGUAUCACCAUUUGAUCUCAAAGAAUUAAGAUCCUCUCCAUCAACUAAAGUCGUAUUAGAAGUAACUAUACUGUUUUGUUCAUUGAAAGUGGUGCAGAACCCUGAAUUUUGCGAUUCCGUAUGAUGGUUCAAAAGCGCUGGAGUGAAUAAGUUAGACAUUGAGGUUGAAGGACAAGAAGAAACACCUAGAUCCCCAUUGCUAACAACAGAAGGAUUCCCGGUCGAAUCAAAUCCCACUGACUCAUUAGUAAGAUUAGGAGCAGCAAAUUGCCAGGCGGAGGAGAUACUCAUAGGAUCACUCGUCCUAUUCUCAACUUCAAAUUCAUCCUUCCCAUUCAUACUAUCAGUAAAAGAAAAUCUCCACUCACUCACUCACUCACCUUCCCUCAAUUUCUUUCCAACAAUAAACAAGCAUCUGCACAGAAAGUCAAAGUAGAUUUCAAAAUCAUCCAAUUCCCAGAGCCCAAAAUGGCAAGUUACAACACAAGAGAAAACAAACAACACCACAAUGGCAACAACACAUUUCAAAACUGAAAUGCACAGAAAACGCCCCAAUUUCAGAAUGGUUUCAAAAUAACCGAUAGCCACACCAUCAGAACAAGUCAAAUUUUAGCAACAGUUCCCAAAAGAAUCCAUCCAAAAGAGGACAACCCAUUUCAACUAUUGAACUAAAAAACGCAAAGAAGCACAAACCCAUUAAAGGGUAAUUCAAAAUCAGCACUAAAAACAGGAAAAAAUCACUCAAUAGGUACAGUAACUUGAAAACCCUAGUCAGAGAAAGAAGAAAACCAGGUCGAAGCAGAGUUUAAAAAGAUGACAAAAGAAGAUAUACCCAUUUCCAGAUUCUUUCCUCUUUCCCCAAACUUUUAGUUGAAAUUAGAGCUUGAAUUUAGAGCCCCCACCUUCAUUUUUCCCUCUGAUGGCAGUCACCUCUGCAAAAACACUGCCACAAACAGGAACUCAGACAAAAUGCAGAGCUGAACCCUGUAAUUGAGAGAGAGAAAAAGAGGAAGAACAACAAAGAAGAAAGAGAGAGAGAAUGAAAAAAAAAAAACUCAAAAGGUGAAAAAAGAAAGAGAAGAGGGUAAAAUGGAAUUUUGAAGAAAGGGUGAAAGGGAAAAAGAAAGAGUCAAGCAAAGGGAAGCUGAAUUUAUACCCACGCUUACAUGAAAAAGAGUGUCCUUUGAUGAUUAACCACCGCCACUUCUACUGCAAAAAAAAGAAAAAAAAGAAAAAAAUUAAAGGCAAAAGGCAAAGCAAAGGAAACCCCUUUUCUCUAAUUAAACCUUUUCUUCAUUCACAAUUCUUUAUCAUCACCUUUAAUACUUCCUUCCCUCUCUAAUUAUUUACUGAAACCAUACAUAAAUUAAUACUUUCUUUUCUGUUUUAAUUAAUCUGCCAUUGCUAUUACUUUAAGCUUAUAAUUAUUCCUGUGUUUGAGCUAGCAACUGACAUUGCCAACUCUCAUUUGGGAUUUCUUCCUAUUUUUUUAAUGGGGUUCUUGAAAGAAGAGAGCUGUAUAUAAGAUCUUUAAUGGAGGAGUUUGUUUGGUCAAGAACCCAAUACAAAAAUCUUAACUCCUUUUCACACUUGAUACUUCUUUUCUCAUGUUUUUAGUUUCAAUGAACAUUAAAUAGUAUAGGUAUCUGGGUACCAUGUUUGAGUUCAUUUCCAUUCAAUUCUUCUUCUCUCUCUUUUUCUUUUUUUUUUGGAUCAAAUCAAAUUGGGCCAACCAAUAUCUAUCUAACUUCAUUAAUGAAUUUAACUGUGUUGUAAUAGAGUGAAGAGACUAUUCAAGAGCUAUAAUUUGUUGCAGGCCAUUAUUUUUUGGGAACAUAAAUGUCAAAGGGUUCAUAGUGUAAAGUUUUGUACAACAAGAAUUUACUUGCAUUCUUCUAGUUAUCUCAUUGAUUUCAAUGCUUCUUCAAUUAUUAGUAUAUCUUUAUAAAUCUUUGUAAUUUAAUAUCUAUAUGUCUUGGUCUUUUUAGUUCAAAUUUUGUAAUAUAAGUAGGACAGAGUUGUGAACUCCACCUGAAAAAAGUAUGAGGUGAGUUAAAUUUUGAAUGACAGAUGAAAUAAGUAUAUUUUAAGCUUUAAACAUCUAAAAAUAUCAAUAUGAAAUUGCAAAGUUUAUGUACGAUAUUUAUAAAUUUUAUAUUUUAUUAUUUUUUUUUGAUAAAAUUUAAAAUAUUAAAAAUUCUUAUAAAUAACAAGGAUGAGAGCUUUUCAUAUAUAGAACCAUUUUGAAGUAAGUUGUAGGAAAAGUGUUAUAGAUAGCCCCAUUAGAUAUCAUUGUGUGUUGGUAAAAAGCUAUAGGCUACUUAGUAAAAUUUGUAAAGGUUGAAUUUAUUUUUUGACUUGAAACAACUUAAAGCAUGAGUCAAGCUUGUUAAUAUGCUUCCACUCCUACUACGAUUAUGAUUAAGAAUUAAGGCAAACUUACUUUGUAAGUAAUUAUUAAACUAAUUUUAGGUUUAGUUUAUGUUAGUGGGUUUAAUUUAGGUUGGUGCUUCUUUAUUAGGUCAAAUACCUCAAUGAAAAUAAAUAAUUUAAAGUUUGUUUUUUCUACCACCCGAGCACUUCAAAACUCGAUAAAAUAGAUUUUUGGUCCAUGCCAAUUAAGAUCGAUUAUCUAGUUUGAAAUUAAAUUUAUCUUUUCCUAAAAAUCUAAAUUAUCGGUUUUUUAUUAUUAUUAUUUUUUUUUGCUUCUUUGGAUGCUAAAAUUGUAUAUCUUUUUCAAUCUUACUUAACACGUUAGGAUGAUCAUCAAGAUCGGUUCGGAAAUUUUAUUUAGAUAAUUUUAUGCGAUCACUUAAUUCCAUUUAGAAAUUUAUUUGGAUAAUUGAUAAAUCCAUUUUACAACUUAAUUGUGGAAAUAAAUGAAUUGGGUGUAACAUUUGGAACUUGGUGAAGAAUUUAAAAGAUUGGAAAAAGACCAAAAUAUGAUUUGAAAAAAUUACAUACAUUCUCCAUAACGUCUUUGGCCAAGAUUUCCUCUAAAAAUCCAACAAAAUUGAUAGUUUGGAUGUAAGAUUAAAAAAAAAUUAAUUUUUAUUUAAAUCAUAAUGGUUGAUCUCUGCAUAAGCUAAAUUUACCUCCUGGGUGGGAUACAUGCCCUUUUGUUUACCUCCUGGGUGGGAUACAUGCCCUUUUGAGGUACUCUGUCGUCAUUGUUGGAUUCUAUAUCCUAAAAUUUGUAGAUAGUAAAUAUAAUCAAUUGAUUGUUAUUGACCAUUUGAUUUAACUGUGUCCUUAAUAACCUAAAUCUAAUAAACCAACAUCCUAAACUGUUUUACGAGUCUUGAACUCCACGUAGAGAUAUACAGAGAUCAAUCAAUAUUCGAGAUAUAAGCUUAAAGGUUUAUAGUAUAGAGAUAAAGUUGGAUACCUUAUUUUCAACUCUCUUUUUAUUUGAUACAAACACAAUGAUCAAACGAGUUUGUGUAGGUGACGUACACGUGGUGAGAAUAUCAUAUCCAAUGAGAUUCAUACAAUGUAUCUUCGCUCGUUUAAAUUACAGCAAAAAUAUAUCCAUUUGAUCUUUAGGAAAGAUACAUUGUAUGUCACAAAACCCCAACAACAACAAAGUCACUACAAUCCGGCGACUGACGAUGGCUCGAAAUUUUGGCAUAAUCGGUGAACGAAUGUAGACGAAGGAGAUCGACGUGACUGGGCAUGCGACGCACGAAGGAACAAACGACGCAAAGGCGCUCGACUUCGGAUGAAGUAAACAUGCGACUAGCGGCGUGCAGCGGAGGAGAUGUUUCCUUGCGGCUUAGUUCUCGAUCAACAGAAUGGAGGAGAUGGCUACAAAGGUGGAGAUCUUGAUUGGACGAAGAACACUCGAACGGAGAUGGAGGUGUCGGCGACAACUAGGGUUUGGUGAGAGUGAAGAAGAUGAUGAUGAAUAGUAAUAAUAGUAAUAAUAUUAUAUUAUUAUUUCCCUUUAAAUAUCUUCCUUUUCCCUUUUUUUUUUUCCUUUUCCAAUUUAAAUAAAACAAAUCUUUUCUUCCUAAUUAAUUCCUUCAAACAAAUAAAAUAUUCAUUUUUUAUAAAUAUUUUGGAAUAUAAAUAAAUCAAAAAUGUUAAAUUUAUGUUUGUUAUUAUUUUGGGAUAUAAAGAUAAUCUUAGCAUGAUUUUAGGGAUGGCAAAAUUUUAAAUUCAAAUUAUUAUUAACAAUAACUAUUUUUAUAAAUUUUUUAAUCAAUUUUAAUAUUUUCGCAGUUUCAAAUCAACAUUUAAAAUCUAGUUUUAAAUAACAAUUAUGGAAAAUAGAUAAAGGAUAUUAACAUGAUAAUUCUAAAAUUUUGAAAUUAUGUUUGACAUCAUUUUAGGAAAUCAAUCAAGUACCACGAUUAUAUGGGAAGAUCAAUUUUUCUUAGAAUAAUCAUAUAUACAUUAAAUGCAUCGUAAUUAUAGGGGUAAGAUACAAUUUUAUUUUGACGACCACAACUAAAUAAAUUGUUAAUUACUUGAUUUGAAACCUAUAAAUAAGAAAAUCUGGAAUAAAUUGCAUGCUUAAAUUUAGGGGACGAUUCAAUCAAAUUCAUUUCAAAAAUAAAUAUUUAUUUAAUAUUUUUACACAACAGAAUGAUUUGCAAAUACAAUGUAUUCGUGAUUCUAGUUAUAUUCAAUCAUAUUUCAUCAUUUUAGCUUACACAAGUACAUUAUAUCUAUCAGAUAAGAAUUUUCCUUUAUACAAGUAAAAUUGACUAAAAAUAUAAAAAAGUGAAUUCUUGUAUUUAUAUUUGACAUAAUUUUAGGGAAUGAUCAAAAAUUUAAAUUCAAAUUGUUAUUAAAACUAUAUCUUGUAUUAUUUAAUAAAUUGUACAAAAUAACAUGUUUAGUUAAGAUCUAUCAAAUUUGAAUGUUAUUUACAAAAAAGAGUGAAUUUGUGCUAUUUUCAAUAUCAUGUCUCGUUUUUUUUACCUAUUGAAAUAAAUUGUUUUGGAAUAUGUGAAAUCAAGAUGUAGUAUCAUUCCCUAUCAUCUUGAUCAUCAAAUUUUUUUAUCUUUUUUUGUGUGUCUCAAAUAUGCUGAUUGGAAUAUGUUUGUAUAAUAGAUGACUAUAAGAUUUUAAAGAUUGUGGAUCACAAUUAUGGUGUAUUUGAGACUCUUAUUAGAUGAAAAUAAACGUAGAUAUUAACGUAAUUUAAAAACAUGUCUCAAAUUAAUUAUUCCUACCAUUGACACAAUAAAACAAUUUUUUAAAAAUAAAAAUCAACCAAUUAGCCCGAUUUGAGAGAAAAAUAAAAUUUUAAACUCAAUUUGUUAUGAGCAAUAAUUUUAUAAAUAUUUUGGAAUAAAAAUAAUUAAAAAAAUGUUAAAUUUAUGUUUGCCAUUAUUUUAGGGAUAUCAAUCCAAUAACACGAUUUUAGGAGAAUUUACAAGAAUUUAAAAUCAAAUUUUAGAGGGUAGUAAAUAAUAUCUAUAGAAAAUGUUCCUAAUUUAAUGAUAAUUACAUAACAAGAUUCAUUGCCAUUAUGUUACAAUUUAUUCUCUAAAAUAAUUCUUAACAAUUUAUUAUUAUUAAUAUGGUCAAUCCCAAUAUGAAAUAAUUCCUAUAUGCAUAAUUAUAGGGAAGAUACACCAUUUAUAUGAGUUGUUAUUAUAUAAAAUGCAUAAUUUUAGGUAAAAAAUAUUAUUUUAAAUUCAAAAUUUUUAGUCUUCCAACAACACCUACAAUUAAGCAAUAAAAUAAUCUAUUAUAAAUUUAAUGCAUGAAUCUAGAAUUUAGUUAAAUGUGAUUAAUAUAUAAAACAAAUAUUUAUUUAAUAUUAUUAUAAAAUUGAAUGAUAUCCAAAUAAAUCGUAAUCGUAAUCAUAGUUAUAUGUUAUGUUUUAUUGUUUUGCGAUUUACAAGUACAUUGUAAUUAACAAAAUGAUAUUCAUUCUAUCAAGGAGUAAAAUCAGUUGAAAAAUUCCAAAAAAAUAUAUAUCUUUUGCAAUUUUGCUAAAAAACAAAUUAUUUUUUAUGUUUGCUAUUUUCCAAGCUACAAAAUAUUAUUUUGCCAUUAUGACAGAUUUCUCAAAAAUGUAUCGUAAAAUGUUCUGUUGUGUAAUGGGCUUUAAUUCCUUCAUCAUAUACCUAAUGUGAGUUAUCUUUGAGUUUUUUAGGGGUUUUGUACAGAUGACCCUUUUUUAGGUGUCCAAAUGAAAAAUGGCUCAAGGUUUAAAUAAUAAUAAUAUUUGGUCUUUCAACGAUACGUAAAGUUACCAUUUUGACCUUGAAGUCCCACCUUAUCAGACCUAAAUCAAUUUCAAUCUCGCUUCUCACUUCUCUCUCCUAUAUCUCGUUUCUCUCUCUCGUAUACCUCUCUUUUUUCUCCUACAUCUUAUUUAUCUCUCCUCAAUUUAAGAUUACUCUUCAUUCUCGAUCUUAAUGUUCUCGUCAUCUCAAUAUCACUUCUCUCUCCUAUUUCUUGCUUCUCUUUUAUAUAUCUUGUUUCUCUUUUGUAUAUCUCGCUUCUGUCUCUUCAAUUUACGAUUAUUCUUGAUCUCAAUCUUUUCUCCAUUUCGAUCUCAUUUCUCUCCCACUUCUCUUCUCUCUUCCUCGAACAAAAAAAAGAACUGCAUAUAGAAGAAAAGGAAAAAGAAAUGCAUAAGAAAGAAGAAGGCGGAAGAAGAGAAGAGAAACGUGAAAAAAAAAAUAUGGAAAAUGGAGGAGAAAGAAGAAGGCUAAAGGGGUAAUUUCAUGGGUGAAUGAUGUAAGCAAAAAGACAUUUUUUUUUUCUUUCCAAAAAGUGAUGACAAAUGAAAUUUGAACUCUUAUUUUAGGUCAUCUAUGCAAAUUUUUCGAGUUUUGGUCGGGACAAGUUUGAAAGAGGGAUAUACAAAAUUAGAUUCAAAUAUUCAUUUUUUUUUUAUUGGGUAUAAUACUCAAAAGGAUAAAUACGUAUAAAAUGAAAGAUAGGUUAAGUUUUUAUUUCUCUAGAUGCGGUGUUUGGCAAAACUUUGUCAUUCCAAGUGUAUGCGCAAAUUAAAAAAGAAGAUAUUGAUGACUUGUCACCUUUAUUUGGUGGUUAUGCAUUGAAUGAAAAAUGUGUUAAUGUUGGAGAAAAUGAUAAGAUUGAUGAAGAUACUUAAACUAUUGAUUUUAGGUCUUCUCGUUCUCGAACAUGACUCACAUAUCUAUCUAAUUAUAAGGUACAAUUGAAUAAUUGUUUGUUUAUUUUUUUUUUUUGUUUUUAAUGGGUAAUAUUUGUGAGGACGAACCUCAACCUUAUAAUAAAGUUAAAAACGUUCUUAGAUAGACAGCAAAAAAUAUGGACUCUAAAUAAGAACCACAAGAGCUUGUUGUGGCUAACGAAUGUUGAGUUAGUUACUAGUAAAUAGAUUUACAAGUUAAAGAAAAAAGCAUGAUGGUACUAUUGAAAUAUUUAUAAUAUUUGUCACAGUAUCACCUAGACUAUGAAGUAAUUAAUAUUCAAUCAUGUUGUUAAAAUGGUAACCAUUCAAAUUGUUAUUUCAUAAAUUCUAUAUUUUAAAAAUGAAAAAUUAUGACAUGUACAGAUUGCGUUCAGUCGGAUUGAAAUUUUUUUUAUGAAAGAGUCUCGUGGUUCUGUUUCUAAUAAGUUUUCAAAUACACGAUAUAUGAUCUUUUAAGAGUUUUGUGGGUCUAGAUCUUCAAAUUAGGUAGGUUUAGGCUUAUUUGUUAUAAACACAGUUUUUGAUGAUGAAUAAUAUUUUUACACUGGGUUGAUGAUAUGAUGAUGAUCAUGACAAGUGAUAACGAAGUCAAAAUUAAUAGGGUUCGAGAUGCAUCGUUUAUUUUCUAAAAUUUUAUUUAAUCGAUGGGCACCCAUGUCAUGCAAGAUGUUUGUCAAAUUUGAGUAGAUGCUUCUCAAACUUUUCUUUUCUUUCCAUUUUUGUUUUGUUUUGUUUUUUUUUUUUUGUUUUUAAUAAAAAGAAUAAUUAAAUGCAGCUUAAAAAACUUGAAAGAGAGUAUAAUAAUAUAAUAAUAAUCCCGAAUGUAACAUAUUUAUAUGUAUGAUUGAAGGGGAAAAUAAAUUAAUGAAACCUAAGAUUUGUCAGAAUACCCUAAUCAGCGGAAUUUAAAAUUCAUACGGAUCUACAACAUUGAUUCUCCAUUCACCCCCAAAUGUUUCUUUCUUUCUUUUUCCAUUUCUUACUAAUUUUUCACUAAGAUUUAAUUACCAUUUAGUUACCAUUUGAUUCUUUAUUUCUAAAAUUCAAUUAAUAAAUAUUUAUUGUUCCUUCCAAUUUCCUUUUCUUUUACCAAUAUUAUCAAAAUUUAAGACCAGUUUUAAAAAUUUUAAAAUAGAUUCUUCUAAAACUAGUUAUUCUAUUAGUUUAGAUUUUUUUCCAAGAGGAUUCAACUGUUUUCCUGGAGGAAAAUGGGUAUUAUUAUAAGAAUAAAAAGGUUAAAUUCUUAGUUUUAUAUAAUCGAUAUUAAAUAAGAAUAAAAGCAACAAGGUAGAAAAUAGAGAAUAACCAAUGUUUCGGCCAAAAAUAACAUCCUGAACCUAUUUUGGGCCUAGAAGAGAGGGUUUAGUUCAUGUCAGGGCCCAAACUAACGUGUUAGGCCUCUGUCUAAUGUCCCACAUCUGCUUUAGGGCUGUGAACAACAAAAACAAAUUACGAGUUUUAUUUGAAAAAAAUAGGAAAGAUAUUUUUAAAUCGUUAAAAUAGCAAAACAUACAAAAUUGAAAAAUAAAUAAAUAAAACCAUCUUUCAAAUGCCCCUACCCAAUCAGAAAAAUACAAUUGUCCACUUAAAACCUAAAUACCCUGUAAUUAAAUAACAUAUGCUACAUACAAUUAAAAUCUAUAAAAAAAUAAAAAUUAGAAAAAUUGCUAUAUUAAUGAGAAGCUCCACCUUAUGCCUACAAAAUUUCAAUUCUCUACAAAUAAUCAUUUUUUUUUCUUGGACUUCAACCGCUUAUUUCCUUCUUUCAUUCGUAACCCUGACAAAGGUUUGAAAUCCAUUUGAAACCAUAUUUUCAUCUUCUUAAAAUAUUUCUUCAAAAGCACAUCUGGGCAUUCUGCGAUUGUUCCAAAUCUCUUCCUCUUCUUUGGCUGCUUUACUUUGCACUACUUUUGGAAGAAUUUUGCACGUCUUUACUUCAUAUUCAGGUUAUUUCGAACCAUCUUCUAUUUCUCAUAGAAAUUUUCGAACAAACUAGUAGUUUCUUCAGUUUUAAUCAGAUUCUUUGACGCCAUUAUAGUCAUUUAAUUGCUCUCUUGAUUCGAAAUUCUUGUUUAUACCUUGUUCGUUCUAGAUGAAGAAUGGCAAGCAAAGACCGUAGAAAGCGAAGAAUCAAGAUCAUCAACGAAAGAGACGAGUGAAAAAAGUGAGCAAUCCAUGAAUAAUAAGGAGAGACAAAAAAAUACAAACAAAAGGAAGAAGGUAAGCUUAUAUAAAUUAGAUAACUGUAACCUCUUAAUCUUAAUGUAUUUUAGCUAUACCUGUGACAAUAUUGUAAUAUAGGUGAAAACUGCAAAGAAGGAAGCAAAAGCAAAAAAAGACAGUUGAAGAGAAGGAAAAGCACCGAUGAAGGAAGAAAUGGUUGAGUAUGUGUGUGAUGUCGUAUUGUAUUUUAUAUGAGACAAGUAUUUUGAAUUUUUUUGUAUAUAAGGUAGCUGUGAUAUUUUUUUAUGGAACAAUACGAAAAUAGUAUAAUACAAUUACAAUGUAUUUGUAUUACGUUUUAUACUGUGAUUAAUUAUUGAUUCUUAUACAUUGAGUUUCGUAAUAUAUAUAUUUAUAAUAAACAUACACUGUAUUUAUGUUAGUAUGUUGAACAUUACGAAAUCAAUUAUAGGAAUAUAGAUAAUGGUUUACUAUAAGUAUAGUGUAUUUGUAGAUUCUGGAACAUGCUAACUUAUAAAUUGUGUUUUACUGUGAUGUAUUUCUUUUUUGUGAUUGUCGUUAACCUAAAGAUUCCUACUCAUCACUACUAGGAGUCGGUGUACUUGAUGUCCCAUGAACGGAGGAACGAACCUUUGAAAGUAAUCCUCCAAACAAAAAGCAACAUAAUAGAGAAGAUCAAAGAAAACCUUGGAAAAAUAUUGACAGCUAGAUUUUGGGAGGGAGUAUUCGACCACUUUAUGAAAUUUUCCACAACAAACCAGUCACCCCAACUACUGCUGCAUCUCAUUCAACGUAUGUGCAAGUCCAAAUCGACCAUCCAAUUACAUUUUCAGAUAGGGGGUAGGGUACUUAAAUUUGGGCUGAGAGAAUUUGCCUUAACUACAGGCCCAAACUAUCAUGAAAUAUCAUAUGUUAAUAAAAAGGAUAUAAAGGAUAAAUGGUGGGGGUGGUUGAACAGAGUUUAUUUCAAGACUCUAAAAUCAGUAAGAAGGCAUUAUUUGAACACUAUGUUCAAUAUAAGCACAACUGGAACAGAUGACGAUAGGAUAAGAAUGACCAAAUUAUACUUUCUAGAGAGUUUCCUACUCCCACGACAAGAAUCCUUGAGUACAGAGUGGAUCACGUUUUGAUGGUAGAUGAUGACGAAUUAUUUGAUAGAUUUCAUGAAUGGAACUGUCACUAGCAAAGGGCAAACAAGGAUAUCCAUGGGAGAGUUCAUUUUUCCAAUCCUUGUUUGGGGCUUACGAGGUAAUCCCAACCUUGAGUAUGCCACCAAAAUUCUUUGCAACAAGGAUAUCAAGUGAAGUCCCCUGAAUAAUAAAUUGGGCACCAGACACACAACCUAAAUGGGGGAGCCUACAACAUAAAGUCUUUGAUUCCCCAACGAUAUGCAACUAUUUUUACACCAAUUUUAAUAUUUAUAAAAGAACUUAUAGUUAUAACAUAUUUUUUUCCUUCUUGAAAAAACUUGAACUAUCCCCCAUGCUCGCUACACUUGACGAAGUGAGCAGACCAUACUUUGCGCCAUUCCUUCAAGCAGAAAAAAAACAAUUCUCAAAGAGGUAGAAUAAAAGUUUACAAAGGGCUAACAAGCUGACCGGGUAGCUCACGUGUCGCUUAGUAAAGACAUGCCCUCUACAAGCCAGCUUGAUGGACUAGCCAAGACUAUUGAGAAAAUUAAACAAAGCUAGGAGAUGAUGGAAAAAAGUAUGGAGGAUAUGAUUGGAUUCUUCAAGUCUGUGGAAGAGAAAAUGGACAAAAAGUUUGAAGAACUGCAUGACAAAGUAAACAACAUUCUUGAAGACAUCAAAAGGAAGCAACCUACUUCUUUAGGUGCCCAUGAGACAAACAAAUAUAUGGUAAGCAUAUGUUUUAAACUAAAAUUUACUUUUCUGAUUAUGUGUAUAUGUAAUAAACUUUGAAAAUACAUUGUAUUUGUGAUUCAGAGAGCAAGGUCUUUUGAGAAGCACAUUAAUAAGGUAGAGAAGAGCAAAGAAGAAGAUGAAGUUGCAGACUUGAACAUGGAAUCGAUCAAUCAAAAAGGCCUCAGAAAAAAGAAUGACCAUGAAGACGGUGAAGGAAGGAGAGGCAUGGUUGGAAGUGGAAACCAAGGUUUCGGAGGGCCAGUUGGUGGACAAACGACAUUGAAAAGACCAGAAACAAUACCUCUCAAUAAUAGACGAGAUGAAGAGCAAACACCGUAUAAGCUAAUUUAUAAAAUAAAUUACACUACAUCCUGUUAAAACUGUUUAGAACACAUAUUUGAAACUAAAAUGUGUACAUAACUGUAAUAGGCCAUAAAGGAUGCCGAUGAAGAAAUAAACCAUCUGAUCAGGUCAAUUGAUGAGAAGAUUAUAUAUGAUGAAAUAAACAAAAAUAAAGAACACAAAAUAAAAUGGUAUAGUGAAUGACUGAUAUUUUAAGGAUUAUGAAUAAUUAUUACAUUGUAUUUUCGACUCUGACUACAUUUGAUAGGUUAUACUGUCAUCAGUGAUAUGUAUAUCUUUUUGUUGUGAAACAGGAGUAUCUGUUUAUUAGCAUCACUGACUAUAUAUUCAAAUAAACUAUAUAAUUGAUAUCUAUAUAAUUUGUGGUUGGAUCACUUAAUUGAUGUGGUUGAUUAUGGUGUAUGUAGAUUGUACUAUAAGUGAUAAUAUGAUGAAAUACACCGUAUUUGGAAUGAAUGGAAUAUGUAUGUGUUUGAAUAUGUCUUUGAAUACAAGAUUUAAUAUGCGUUUGAUGACGGUAUGAAAAAUCAUAUAUUUUACAAGCUUAUUAUGUAGAUGAUACUGGGAUCAAUUGUAUCUAUACAAGCUUAUUAUGAGAAAUGGUAUCUGGCUAAUAACAUCAGUGACUUGUAAUCUCUACAAACAAUGUAUUUAAAUCUUAUUUCUUUUAUGGUUUAAGUACUCUAUUGAUGAGCUAAGUAAUGCGCUUAUAAAAUAUUAGUAUGCACAGAGUCAAUCCUCUUUGAGUUCAACAACAAGCAUAAUGAAAAAAAGUUCACCCAAACUUUGGAAGGAAAAAAGAAAGACAACAAAUGGCAAAGGUAAUAAGAUAAUAUGAACAUCGGGUUCACAACUUCGAGCAUGGUACAUUUAAACUUUCUUAUGCUACCAACUUAUAGGUUAAAGGAAAAUUUUCAAGUGAAGACAAACUCUCAAUUAUGUCAAAAAUAAUCCAACAACAAGGGUUAUAUUAAAACACAUAAGAAUAUCUCGUACUACAAGAUGCUUAAUUAUAUUGCGUAAGUUAUAAAUCGUAUCUUAUUAAUGCAGUGCAUUUUUUUUAGUUGAACACAACCAAAGAAGAGUUGAUAAAGAUGACAGAGGAUAAAGAAAAACAACUGAAGAUAUCAAUUGAUAACCAGUAUAAAGAGAUUAAGCCAACGGCUACCAGAAUAAGGAUAGAUGCAGCAAGAGAGAAAAUAUGCACAUAUAUCAUCAAACAACGAGAAGGAGAAUGCAUAUCCAGACAUGCUAUAAUUUGAUUUUCAUAUGAAAGCUUGAUAAUUCAUCAUUAAACUUUUAUGUUAUGGGUUCUUCAAUUUAUGAAAUGAUAUUUUGUUUUGUUGAUUUAUUUAUAUUGAAACAAUAUAUUCGUUUAUUUAAUCAAAAUCUAUUAUUAUUUUUAGAUACAUGGAUUCUAAGUACAUUGUAUUUGUUAUUCAAAUCAUUAAAAUGUAAAUAAAAUAUAUGGAUGUACUUCAAAUGCUUAAAUUUGAAAUGCAUUUUAUGUUAUGGGCUCUUCAAUUUUUGAAAUGAUAUUUUGUUUUGUUGGUUUAUUUACAAUGGAACAAUAUAUUCGUUUAUUUAAUCAAAAUCUAUUAUUAUUUUUAUAUACAUGGAUUCUAAGUACGUUGUAUUUGUUAUUCAAAUCAUUAAAAUGUAAAUAAAAAAUAUGGAUGUACUUCAAAUGCUUAAAUUUGAAAUGCAUGUAAGCAUUUGAAAUGCAUGUACAGAGUUAUAACAUGAUUGCUCAAAAUACUCUAUAUGUUUGAUUUACACAGUAAAAGAAGAUAAUGUCAUGACUUCCAUAUUAUGACAACCUCAAUAUAUCUGGUUUGAGAGUUACAAUACUUAACUUUAAAAUAGACAACAUACACUAUAAUAUACUUUCAAAUUGAACAUGUUCAGGUAACCAUAAAAUAUAACAAAUACUUUGUAUGUUAAUAAAAAAUGUUAAUAAAUUUUAUAACAAAUACUUUCAAAUUGAACAUGCUUAAUCUUAAUCCUGAGUGUAGUAUGAACUUCUGCUUGCGAGAGAUUGUCUUUUGAUUUGUACGGGUGAGAGUGGCCAGAUUGUCAACUCAAUAAGUUUAUCAUUUUGGGGACAAGACCGAGUGGGGAGCUAAAAACAUAAUUACACAAGAUGAAAUUCACUACUUCUCUACUUUAGGAUAAUUAAAUGAGUGUUCUCUUAAAUGAUGUGUCCAAGUCUUGAACAAAUGACCCUACCAUCUUUAUGACACGAGAGAGUUACUGUUUAUUGGUAGGACCAUAAAAAAGUUAUUCAUUGGAGGAGCACUGGUAUUUAAGGAUUACAGGUAACCUAGAGGUAAAAUCGUAAAUUGACCCAGCUGGUGUUACUAACACUCGUGAAGGACUAACUUCAUGUGAUGUAAUCCACUCCAUUUCAGUGUUGGAAUUGAAAGGUGGGAAACAUUUUGAACCUUAUUUAGCAAGGUUUUGCUGUUCUAUAUGGGUUUCUUUGGUGGUGUUGCUCCACGUCACUUUUGAGGUCAAUUUUGAUGCUAUAAUUUGUGUCAUCAUUACUAAUGGUUUCGAGACAGUUUGUUGACAAAGGACAACUUGGGUAAACCAUUUAGGAACUCUUUUAAGAAUGAAUUUACAACUUUGAUUAAGGGGUCUGAAGGUUGAAAUUUGUUUUGGGUCCAUAUUUUGGAAUUUCAAAAGGGUUCGGUAUGCCAAAGGAAAGGAUAUCUGGAUAUAAAUUGAGUUUCAACCUCCUAGAAUGCCUUUGAGACAGGCAAAAUGUAAUUAAACUUUUAUGCAACGCUAAGAAACUUCAUGUGAUGGUAUGUCUGGUUUACGACUGAGAAUUUAUAAGAACGUGCUAUAAAGUUAUAAGUUACUGUGAUACGAUUAUAUAAUGUGAGACCCCUUAUUGCACGUUGCAUAUAAGUUAGUGGCAACUACCCUCUCCUACAUAUGGCUAUGUACACACUAGAUUUGUGUACUUUCAGGUCAACUAGAUUUGUAUGCCUAAUGGCCAACUAGUUUUGGUUUAAAAUUUGCAUGCAUAGCAGUAAUGACCCUAGUUAGGGACCUAAAAAGAUCGGGUUGUUACAUGAAAGAUCUUCAGUUCAUAAUUGUAUUGAUAUCUCUAACUUGCAAAGAAGGUGAUAUUAAACUAGGUGUGUAAUUUAAUGUUAUGAUGGCUCCUUCGAAUUUUGUAGUUUGUCUUUCUUUUUUUCUAUCUACACUUGAUUAUAUCUUCUAGUGGGCUCAUUGUUGAAGAGUAGACAAUAUGCUUAAAAUGAUAUUUUGCUUUGGAAAUAUUAUGGAAAGUGUACCCUUAGUUCUCCCUUCUCUUGAAAGAUACUGCCAAGUUGCAUCAACGUGGUUUAGAUAAACCCACAGAAUCAUCACUUGGAUUUAGCAGCUUCAUCAUUUCCCUCUAUGGUUGCGAUUAAAGUUGAAGAAAGGGAGAUGCAUCGUGCUUGCAAAACUUAUGGAGAAAAGGUCAUCCAAAAGUAAUUUUUUUAACUGAUGAAAUGAUCGUGAUGAUGAACUAUCCUGUUACAGUUGAACACUAUUGUUUUUGGUUUUACACAAGUAUUAUGGUUUUGAUGGUAAUUGAAGAGAGUUUCUCGAUAUUGACAUAAAUUAAACUUUCAACAGUUUAUCUUUUUGUAAUUUUUGCUUUCCCCCGGAAACCUGUUACUUUUCCUAUGUUAUUCUGUGGACGAUCAUCCCUUUUUUAGUUCCACCUACGUUCACUUGCAUUUAUUUACCUUCACUGUUUGAACCAUCCCACAUCCCACAUCAUGAUAUAUAAAUUAAAGAAGAAUUUUAAAUAAUGAAACAAUAUUUACACUAAACAAUUAACAUCUUUAAUUUGAACAUGAAUUUUAAUUAAUUAGUUUUGAUGCCAAUUGAGUGUAAUGAGAAUGAUUAAAAUCCACCGUUUAAGAGGUUGUUAGAUAAAUAUCUUGAUGUGUCAUCUUUGCGUUUGGUGCAAAUAUAAUAACUAUAUAUCUAUUUGCGUUCAAUUGCUCAUAUUAUAUUAGCUUAACCUAAAGUUGAUGGCUUACAACAUGAAGCCAAAUGUGACAAAUGAAAACUAGAAUCCUAAGUGAUCGGGGGAAAAGAUCAUAGUUUUGUUAAUUGCGUAUAAUUAAUGGUUUUAAUUCGGCAAAAGGUUAUUUAAGGAUAAGGUCAACUAGAAUUCUACAAUUUCAGAGGAUGCAACUCAUAUCGAAAAACUUUUGUUAGUCGUUUUUCUACGUUUAGAAUUGAUCGACAAGCUUGAACACAAAUAUAGAUAGGAAAAAACUCUCACCUUAUCACUAUGUAUUCUAUAUAAAUAAACACAUGGAUUCAUGAAACAAAUAAAUCAAAGCCAUAAGUUGUGGGAUCAAAGAUGUUUAAGCUUCAAUGGCUUGUUGCAACUCUAGCUUGCUUGGCUUUUUGCCUAGGAGAUAAUGUUUCAUAUGAUUCAAAUGCGAUAAUUAUCAACGGAGAACGAUGUAUUAUCUCUCAGGCUCAAUCCAUUAUCCACGCAGCACUGAAGCAAUGUGGCCUGAUCUUAUUCAAAAAGCUAAAGACGGCGGACUUGAUGCAAUUGAGACAUACAUUUUUUGGGAUCGUCACGAGCCACAACGACGAAAAUAUGAUUUCUCUGGACGUUUAUAUUUCAUUAAAUUCUUCCAGCUUAUCCAAGACGCUGGACUUUAUGUUGUCAUGAGGAUUGGUCCUUACGUGUGUGCCGAGUGGAACUACGGAGGCUUUCCAGUGUGGUUGCACAAUAUGCCAAGAAUCCAACUACGAACUAACAAUCAAGUCUACAAGAAUGAAAUGCAAACCUUCACGACAAAGAUAGUGAAUAUGUGCAAACAAGCCAAUCUCUUUGCUUCCCAAGGAGGGCCAAUAAUAUUAGCUCAAAUCGAGAAUGAGUAUGGAAAUGUGAUGACACCAGCUUAUGGAGAUGCAGGAAAAGCAUACUCAUCAAGUGGGGUGUUGUAAUCGUAAGAUGUAGUGAUGAAUGGACCUUCCAAUGUUCUUCCAAAGUUGGUGCCAUAAGCUGGUGUCAUCACAUUUCCAUACUCAUUCUGGACGGCGGCAGAUCUGGACGACUGCCGCAAGGUGACGCGUACGGCUGCUUCGCGAACUGGCCGACGGUUGCAGCGACGUUCGGCUGGGUUUGGACGGAACGGAGAGGAGAAGAGAAGAUGGAGACGGCCGGCGGCGGUUGCUGCGCGAACGGAGAGAAGGGGAAGGAAACGGUGGGGGUUGCGGCGCACGGGAGGAGAAGAGAAGAGAAAAAAAGAAAAAAAGAAAAAAGAAAAAAAAGAUAUAUAUAUAAUAAAGAAAUUUUCUUUUUCUUUUCUUUUUAUUUAAAUUAAUAUAAAAAAAAAUAUAUAUAAAAUAUAUAAAAAUUAAAAAAUAUAUAUUUUUACCUCUGGGGCUUUACAACCUCAAUCAUGCCGUUAAUAGAAACAUCAUAAAAAUCAUACAAAAACAUUAAAACAUGUCUGCUAUCUUUAUCUUUCAUAAAGCUCAAGUUUACUUAGAUUGUUCGUGAAAAGUUGUAGUUCUUAAAACAAAACUUGGUAACUCAUGCUUUAUUUGAAACACAAUGGUUCAAAUACUUUCCAGAUCUUCGUUAAUCACGUGCUAGCAUAAAUCUUCAUUAAGAAAUCUAGUCUCGAAACUCAGAGUUGAAAAUAAUAUGGAAUUCAAAUGAUUUUCAAAGCUUGCAAAUAAACGUGUAGAUCAGUCAAUCAUACUUAAUAAUUAGGAGAAAAUAAAAAAUAUAUAUAUUUUGAAAACUGGUUUUUGUCACUCACAGUCUAAAACUAGUUUUCCGAUGUGUAAAUCCGACCUAUUUCCUCUUGGCCUGUCAAACAACCAGAACCGAGUAUUAAAAACCUAAAUAUUAUGAUCUUCAAAUAUUAUGCUUGACGUAGCUCACUAAGGAUAUUGCUAAAGAAGUCUAUCCUUAAAAAAAAUAAUCCAUACUCUACACAUUUCUCAUAAUUUUCCAGAUUUGCAGCACACAAUUCAAAUGUUCAUAACUCUUCCACUACUUAACCAAAAUUAGAUUUCUUUACGUCCAAAUCUUCAUUUUGAGGUUCUCUAAAACUUAUCCCUUCAAUUUAACUUAUUUUUAGUCGUUUUUGGUUCAUGGUUUCUUUAGAAAAGUUGUAGUAAAUUGAACAAUAUUUCCAACCAUACCAAAUAGAGAUCCUAACUCCAUCGGUACACACUGAAAUACCAAAUAAACCAGAGACUUCCUGAUUUCGCGUGAAAAACACCUAUCCUGUUUUCUUUGUCAAAAUUCACCCAAUGAACAUCAAAAUUUGCCCAAGCUUUCUUCAUAAAGUUUAUUUGAAAAUGAAUUAGAUUUCAGUAAAUUUAAACCUCACCUCUUAAUUCUGUUUGUGUAGCUCGAAUUCAAUAAAAAACCAGAGAUGUGCUUAGUAAACUAUAGAGAAAUUGAUCUUGCAAACUCCUUUGUGUUCUUCAACCAACACGUUUUGAGUUUCUUCUUCCUCUCACAGCCUUCUUCCCUUGGAAGUUUCUCUCAAAUUUGGUGCAAAAUGAUGAAGAAAAUGGAGAAGAAAGGAAUUGAAAUAACAUGGGGUGGAUGGGUUUAUGACAUUAGAAAGUUGCAUUCACAUUAGAAAGUGUUAUAACAUUAUAAAGUUGCAUUCACAUUAGAAAGUUGCACCGAACGCAAUUCUUCCUUCCUUCUUUCUUUUCUUUUCUUUUGUCUUUACUUUACUUAAUGAAAACCAAUAAAUAUAUUAUUAUUGUUAUUAUUGUUAUUUUUAUUGUUAUUCUUGUUUUUAUUAUUGUGGUUAUUGUUAUUAUUAUUGUUAUUAUUAUUGUUAUUGUGGUUGUUAUUGUUGUUGUUACGGUUGUUGUUAUUAUUAUUAUUAUUAUUUAUAUAUAAUUUCUAUUUUUCUUUUAUUCCUCUUACAUAUAUUAAAUAAAAUAAAAUUGACAAAGAAAAUAUCAUGUUUACACAAGAGACCUAACCUUCCAAACAGACCCAAAAAAUAACACAUCCUAAAGAUAGCUAUAAAACUCCACAACUCGGGGACAAGCACAAAACAAAACAACUCGUGGACAGAAUAAAAAUUAAAAGUCUAGAAAACAAUAAGAGAAGAAAAAUAAGCUAAACCAAAGAAAAUAACAAAGACAAAUAAAACCUCAUAGCCUGGGGACAAGCAAAAAAUAAAAGUACACUAAAUAAAAUCAUGAACAUCUUCCGACCAAGAAGCAGUACAAGCCCUAAUGCACAACCGAAUGAGCUGGAAAAUAAUCAUAGCCUCAUGAACCUGACCUCCAUGAAGACGAUGAUUCUGCUCUGGCCAAAUAAAGUAAACCGUAGCACACCAGAGAAUACGCCACAACUUUUUCCUCACCCCCUUCCCUAUGUCCUGAUGGCAAAUCUAAGAUAACUCAACCCCCAAUACUAAAGGGUAGAGAAGUUACAGAAAUUUUGUUAUUCAAAAUGAUCCAAAAUACUUAUUCUAAAAAAAGUAAAUGCUUAGAAACAGCCUAAAAAAUAAAAUCUUCAAAUUGGAAUACUAAAACGAUCACAUAAAAUAAAAAAAAAUAUAUGAGUCUAUAGUAUCAAAUGUAUCAUUAUAACCACAAAAAUUUCUCAUCCAAGCAUUCAGAGUACUUCCAGACAAAAAUUAAACACUAAAACAAACUACAUUUGGAAGAUAUAGCGUAUGAUAACUCAAAAACAAAAAAUGAAAUUUCUCAAUAACGUAAGAAGAGAGUAAUCUAGAAAAACCCACUACUUGAACGAGCUAUGAAAAACCACAUGUUCUUCGAACCUUUCCAAUGUUGGUUUUACAACAAAGGAUCUGUAAAAUCUCACGCAUUCUUCUUGAAGAAAGCAAAGAUAAAUACUUUGUAAGAUAUAUUGCCAAGAGGGAGAGAAAAUUAUAUGAAACUUCUUACCUUUAUUCAAUUUGAUUGACUAAUAUUUAUAGUCUAAAAGGAAGCAAAAAAUUAGUAACCCACUAACUUAGUGCUUGCUAAAACUUUGGACAUGAUUAUAAAACAAAUAACCAAAAACAAUAAAUAGAAAAAUAACUUAAUUCUUCCACCUAUUUAGGAAGAUCAUGGCAAAUUAAUAGCCCACACUACCCCCCUAAUUCUAACAUGAUUCUAAGUUACGAACACCAAGUAGUUGACGCAUAGCAGCUAACUUUACUCCCGUCAAUGCUUUAGUCAGAACAUCGGCUCGUUGUUCUCCAGUGUUGACAAAUUCAACGAUAAUUUAUCCAUUCUCGACACACUCUCGAAUGAAAUGAAAACGUGUAUCUAUGUGCUUGUUGCGACCAUGAAAUACGGGAUUCUUCAUGAGAGCUAUUGCGGAUUUGUUAUCCACAAAUAAUGUUACCGGCCUGGGCUCCAUUCCGACUAUCUCGCUAACAAGGCAUCUUAACCACAAUGCUUGGCAAGCUGCGGUAGUAGCUGCAAUGAACUCGGCUUCGCAAGAUGAUAGUGCCACGGUCUUUUGCUUUUGCGAAUUCCAUGAAACCAAGCUUUCAUUUAAGUAGAAUGUUAUUCCACUUGUGCUUUUCCUCCCGUCGAGAUCACCGGCUAAAUCACUGUCAGAGUAACCGAAUAUAUUGAAUUCUCUGGGACCUUUCGUAUAAGUGAGCCCAAAAUGAAUUGUCCCUCUCAAAUACCUAAGUAUUUGCUUGACCACCUUGUAAUGCAUGGUUGUAGGCCUUUCCAUAUACCUACUCGCCAUCCCAACAACAUAUGAAAGAUCUGGCCUUGUGUUCAGUAAGUAUCUAAGACAACCAAUGAUGCUUCUGUACUCCGUAGCAUCAAUUGGUGCUCCUUCCGUGUCUUUAUGAAGUUGUGUCUGGGGUUCCAUCGGGUACUUUGUGGCAUUGCAAUCAGCCAUUCCAAACUGGGACAAAAUUCUUUUGGCAUAAGUUGGUUGUUUGAGCAGGAUUCGACCCUUCUUUUGUUCAACUUCAAUUCCUAAGUAGUAAGAGAGAAGGCCUAAGUCGCUCUCAAAUUUUGUCAUCAUUUGUUGCUUGAACUUAAUGACCUUUUCAGUGCUACUUCCUGUUACAAUGAGAUCGUCAACAUACACUCCAACAAGAACACAUUCCUCUUCUUCUCUUCUUGUGUAGACUGCUUGCUCUUGAGUGCAUUUUCUAAAACCAAGACCUUUGAGACUCCUAUCAAGUCGAAUGUUCCAAGCUCGUGGAGCUUGCCUCAAUCCGUGAGAGCCUUUGACAAUCUAUACACCUUGUGUUUUUCAUUUGGAACCUCAAAACCCUCCGGUUGAGUAACAUAUACUUCCUCUUCCAAUUCUCCAUUGAGAAAUGCCGACUUCACAUCUAGAUGGUGUACCUCCCAACUUUGGUUUGCAGUGAGUGCAAGAAUGACUCGAAUGGUGUCAAGUCUUGCAACCGGUGCAAAAACUUCUUCAAAGUUAAUGCCUUGUCUUUGUACAUAGCCUUUAGCAACCAAUCUUGCUUUUGUUGGCUUUUUGGCCCUUAAUCUCAAAUUUAUUUAUUUUAAUUAUUAAAUUAAUUUAUGUUUUGAUGAUAACAAAUCUGAUUUUUUUAUUGAUAAUUUUAUUGAUUUGAAUAGACCAUAUCGUAGAGCUUAGAAAAAUGAUUCUAACGCCUCUUGAAUCACCCAAAUCGAAGUUCAAAUGAAGAAAAUAUUGCUAAAAGAAGGUUAACGGAAAAAUACCCGAGAUGGUGACGUGGCGACCAAGCAUUCAAUUUGAACCAAUUAGAGAAAGCCACUUGGAGCAAUGGAGUAACAAAUGUGGUUUUUUUGUUAUGUUUUAUUGGCUUUUAUAAAGAAAAUGAAUUUAAAAAGAAAAUGAUUUUAAUAUUAUUAUUUUUCUUUGUGUCUAACGGCUAGUUUUUUUAAAAGAUGGUGAAGUUGCUUUAUUGAUUUCUUUUUAAACAAAGUAUUUUGAAAACACAUAUUAUUAUAUUAUUAUUUGUAUUGUGUGUAACGGCUAAUUAAGUUUAAAUCUCAACCAUUCAUUUUUCUUUUACUUAUAUAUAAUGACCCAAAUGAUUUUGAAUUUAUCUUUCCUCUCUUUUUAAAUACUUCACAUUUACACAAGAUCAUUAAAUCUUUACAAUCCUCAAAAAGUGCAAAAAGCCAACAUUGUUAUUCUCUCUAAAGCUUCCAAUUUUUAUUCUUUUCAUCUUAUUCUUGAGAGCUUCUUAUUAUAUUGUGAGGAUUAAAUUUGUGAGCUUCAAAUUGUAUACUCACUCUUUUAGAGAGUUUUUCUUUUGCGUGAUUUAAAAACUUCAACAUAUUGUAACGGUUGGAUGCUAACCCGUGGAAAGGAUCAGGUUUGCUCUUGAACCCGAAAAAGGAGCAAGAAUCGGUUCGGCUCAAAUCCGUGGAAAGAGUCCAAAGAAGAUUUUCAAUCAAAAUCCCAAGAGGUGCUUGGGAAAGUGGAUGUAGGUUGAGUUUAACUGAACCACUAUAAAAUUACGGUGUCUUCUUCUCUAACUCUUUUCUAAUUAUUUUUUAAUUUAAUUUUAGUUACAUAUUCUUAUUGGUUGAGUUUGAUUGCAUACUUCCAUUCAUAUCUUUUUAUCAAUCUUGUUAUUUAACAAAGUUUACAAAGUUCUUUAUUUAAAUUUUAAAAAAUAUCUAAUUAGUUGAUUUUACUUUUUAUUUGUCAAAAAGUUUAUUUAAACCCUAUUCACCCCCCUCUAGGGUUGCCAUACCGAUCCAACAGCUUUGUGCUUGACAACUUCUCCAUUAGGGUCUUUCUUCAAUUUGAACACCCAUUUUAAACCAAUGGGUUUGUGUCCUAGUGGAAGCUCGGUCAUACUCCAUGUGUUGUUUUUCUCAAUGGAUUUUAAUUCAUUCUCCAUUGCUUCGUACCAGCGACCCUUUGUAACAGCUUCUUGGUAACAAGUCGGUUCUUCGGACACUACCAUCAUCACCUCAUUCUCUUGUUCAUCACCACCUACAACUUCCUCUGUGUUGGCGUAGAUGUCACUGAGAGAUCUUAGACGGACCGGUGUGUUCGUCGAUGGAGGAGAUGGACUGGUCUCUCCAACCGCAGGUAUCUCAGUUGCAUGUGGUAAGGCAUUUUCAACCUCAGUUUCUGCAUCCUCCAAGUUUUCGAACUCGUCAGAAUAAAAUUGGUCCAUUACCUGAAACUCUGUAAUCUCCUUACCGUCACUAACAACUUCGUUCCAAGCCCAUUCAAGAUUCUCUUGAAAAAGAACAUCUCUACUAAUUUGUAGUUUUCCACGGCGUGGGUCAUAUAAGCGAUGAGCUUUGCAUCCUUCUUCGACACCAAAAUAUACCAUUGGUGAGCUUCGAUCGUCGAGUUUCUUGAGGUGAGGGGUUGUUUUCUUUACAUAUGCCACACAACCAAAGACUCUCAAGUGUGCAAGAUGUGGCUUUCUACCCAUCCAAGCUUCAAAUGGUGUGCAUUCUCCAAGGGCCUUCGUUGGAAGACGGUUUAACAAAUAAACUGCGUGUCUCACUGCCUCUCCCCAAAAUUUUGCAGGCACAUGCAUGCUUUUGAGGAGUGAUCUCGUAAUCUCCAUUACGGUGGGGUUACGACGCUCUACAAUGCCAUUUUGUUGUGGUGAAUAUGGAGCGGUGAGGUGUUGUUCGAUUCCUUCUUUUUUGCAAAAUUGAGUGAACUUUGUAGAUAAGAACUCACCACCUCAAUCCGUCCGGAGCGUUCUGAUCUUGUACUCCGUCUUGUUCUCCAUUAAGAGUUUGAAUUUCUUGAAUGCUUCAAAUGCGUCACUUUUUGCCUCCAACAUAUACAGCCACAUCCAUCUCGUGGAAUCGUCAACUAUCAACAAAAAAUACUUGUCUCCAACAAGAGUACAUGGUGAAAUCGGUCUGCAUAUAUCAGCAUGGAGGAGUUCUAAUGGCUUCUUUGCUCUAUAUGUUGAUUGACGGGGGAAGGACAAUCUGACUUGUUUGGUAAUCACGCACGCUUCACAUAACUUGUUCGGUUGAGUCACUAGUGGUACUCCAACUCACGUGCCAUAACCAUGUUGGAUCUUCUAGGCUUGUCAGAAGGCAGACUUGCUUGAGUGUCUUCAAAGUUAUCUUGUACAAACGAUUUUGAGUUCCCUUCACCGACAUCAAAAGCUUCCCACUCCUAUCAGACACUUUCAUGAUAUCUUCUAUCAUUUGCACCUUGUUUCCAUUUUCUGUCAUUUGUCCGAGGCUUAUGAUGUUACUACAUAAUUUUGGAAUGUAAUACACCUCUUGGAGAGCCUUCUGAUCACCGUUCUUGCACUCGAACAUGACUGUUCCUUUUUCCAUGAUCUGAAUGGUUGGUCCAUCGCCAAACUUCACCUUCCCAGUGAAGCUUUCAUCUAAUUCUUGGAACUUCUCACGAUGACCAAUCAUGUGGUUACUAGCACCGUUGUCUAGAUACCAAACAUCAUUAUUUUCUCCAUUCUUGUCGUUGCAAUACAUCUCUGGCAACAACCGCUCUUUGUUGAGUAGUAUGGCAUCCUCCUGAUCACAUCUAGUGCGUGUCCCCUCCUGGGACAUGGCCAUCAUCAAAGUCGGUUCUUCUUCGACGACACAAGUUAGAUGAGAUUCCUCGUCAUGACCUUUUCCACGAUAUUCCAACGCGUAAUGUCCCAUCUUGUUGCAAGUGAAACACUUAAUGUGACUUUUAUCACGAGUGCCAUUUCCAGUGUUGCUAGUGCCUCCCGCACUAUUUUGACGCUCAGUGCCACGACCACGUCCUCGCCAUCUUCCUCGAUCGAUACCACUAAAUCUGCGCCCUUUGUUCAUCGAAGAGUUGUCACCACUAUGUCCUUUUUGUCUAGCUUUCCAUUCGGCAUGGGUAAGUAGGAGUUGUCCAUCGGUGUUGUUAUUGUUUUCUCGGAAUCGUGUUGUUCGUUCCUCGUAUGCCUUCAUCCGUCCAAUUGCUUCUUCAAACGGCAUGGUUUCGAGAUCUUGGAAUUGCUUGAUUCCGACGACAAUGGGAAGAUAUUUGUCGGGGACGGAAUCUAGGAGCUUAUUGACCAAUGAUGAAUCCUCAAGUGCAACUCUGAGGGUGGUGAACUUGCUUGCUAAUCCGCUGAUUUUUCCUACGAACUCAUCGAUCGUCUCAAUUUCCUUCAUCCGAAGAACAUUAAACUCACUCUUCAAGGUUUGAACUCUCGCCAUCUUCACCCGCUCACUGCCCAAGUACCUUGUCUUGAGACUAUCCCAUAUUUCCUUUGCGGUCUUCUUCUUAGCGAUUUGUAGAAGCACAUCUUCCGGGAUGCAUUGGAGAAUGUAUGCACGUGCCUUCUUGUCUUUCUUCACAUCCACUUCGGCUCCUCUCGCUGGCUCUAUUGCUUCCCAAACUCCUUGGGCAUUGAGGAUUGCUUCUGCCUUUAUCGUCCACACCGUGUAGUUGUGUGGAGUUAACAUCGGGUAGAGAAUCGACAUUCCACCAUUCUCCUUUGUUUGUUAUGAGGUGCUUGCCAUCUUCGUUGGAAUAUGCGAUGAGAAGACAACCUGCUCUGAUACAAAAUGUUGGUUUUACAACAAAGGAUCUGUAAAAUCUCACGCACUCUUCUUGAAGAAAGCAAAGAUAAAUACUUUGUAAGAUAUAUUGCCAAGAGGGAGAGAAAAUUAUAUGGAACUUCUUACCUUUAUUCAAUUUGAUUGACUAAUAUUUAUAGUCAAAAAGGAAGCAAAAAAUUAGUAACCCACUAACUUAGUGCUUGCUAAAACUUUGGACAUGAUUAUAAAACAAAUAACCAAACACAAUAAAUAGAAAAAUAACUUAAUUCUUCCACCUAUUUAGGAAGAUCAUGACAAAUUAAUAGCCCACAUCCAAGAUCACAAGUCAAGAGAAAAAGAAGGCCACUAAGAUUCAGCAUAUAUUGAUAACAUAUAAACAUAGUAAAUAGUUUAUGAUUAUUUCAGAAUUUCAAAAUAUUGAUAACAAUAAACGAACCUGGUGAUUGACUGAACAGUAAGCAACAACUCUGCAGCGACCACACCAUCGGGUGGCCGAACCAAUGCAACGAGUUCCACGUCCCUUGCCAAUGCACUCCCUUUUUUUUAUUAUUGAAGAGUUAACUCAGUACGAAUCAGAGCAAGACAGCAGUCGGAAUCGUUAAGGAUGUCAUGAACAAGGAAGCAUGAUGAAUGGAGCACGACGAACGGAGCAUGACGAAUGAAGCACGACGAACAGAGCGUGACGCAUGGCGAACGGAGUAUAUCGAUCAAGAAGUGUUGUUUUUAAACUGAUUAGGCAGUGAUUUCAAACCGAGUACAAAUGAAGUUCUUCCCCAACGGCUAUUUCGAAUGGAGCAUAGCAAAUGACGUUUUGUUUUCAAAGGAGAGUCGUGAAGGAUAUGAAACGACAAUUUCAUUUUCGAAGGAGAGGUGUGAAGAAGCAUUUUGUUUUGCUAGUGCUUGUCUAACUACAAUCCACGCGCGUGUUUCUUUUUUUUUUUCAAUUAUUUAAUAAACUUGAAGUUUUUAAAUGUCAAGAAAUUCGGAAAAUUACCUCUCUUUCGGAUUUACAUAAAAAUUCUUGACGUUUUAAAACAUCAAGAAUUUAAUAGAUUUUUUUUGGCAUUUUUAAAACGUCGAGAACAAAUAUUUAUCUCUUGACGUUUUUAAAACGUGUCAAGAACAAAUAUUUAUCGUUUGACGUUUAAAAAACGUCAAGAAUGUCAAAUUUAUAAAAAUUCUUAACGUUUUAAAAAUAUCAAGAAUUUAAUAGAUAUUACUUGAAGUUUUUAAAACGUCAAGAAAAAAUAAAUAUUACUUAACAUUUAAAAAACGUCAAGAAAGUUGAAAAAUUGUCUACAUCCACCUUUUCAUAAAAAUUUUGAUGUUUUUUUUAUUUAAAGUAACCUAUUUCUUGACGUUUCUUUAAAAAAAAAAAGCCCUUUUUUUUUGUAGUAAUGUGUUUUUUUUUAAAGAAAUUGGAUAUCUAUUUUUUGAAAGAAACGUCAAGUAAUUAAAACUACAAACCUCAAGAAAGCCCUUUUUUGUAGUAAUGUGUUAGGUAGCUUCUAAACGCUUGUUAAUUUGGAAGUGUUAUAUAGAUUUUUUAGUUUAAACUUAGAUACAGUGAAAGUUUGGAUAUUGAAUACUUGUGAGGUGUGGCUUAUUGAUGGAGUAAAUUUAGCAUUUGAGAGGGGGAAUAUAAGACUAAUUAUAUGUAUUUAUAUUCUAGGUCUUUAAUGAUGGACAAUGGUUAAUGAAACUUAGGAAUAAGUUCUCAAUUAAGUAUAAAUAGGGAGUUUUCCAAUUUUUAGAAGUUGCAAAGUAUCACGUCGAUGAGUACGGACGGACAAUGUGUCAAUGCAAUAAAUGUAUAAACUCAAAUAGGACUCGUUAGACGGUGUGAAGAGACAUUUAUUAACGACUGGGAUAUGUCCCUCCUACACAGAUUGGGUGUAUCAUGGAAAACCAUUGAACUUCUAUAUAAGUAUAGAUAGAUUUGAUUAAGGAAAUAGCAGUGACCCUUUCCAUGAAUGAACUAGCAUUGACCCCUUCCAUGAAGGAACUAGUAGCAACUUAUUUCCUUAAGAUAUAAUGCAAUAUUGGGCAUGCAUGCUACAUGAUUUACAAGCUUUGAUUGAACACGAAGAAGAAACGGCUAAGGAAGGUUUGGACAAUGAAAUGUCGUUUAAUAGUGGUGUAGAAGAGGAGACGGAGCAUAUAUUUCAAGAGUUAUUAAACCAAGCACGUCAUGAGCUAUACCGGCUAUUCAGAAUUUUCAUCUCCUGAAUUUGUUUAGAUGCUUUUAGAGUAAAGUUGUUCGUGUGUUUUGGGACGCAUAUCUCAUUUUUUCAUGAAAGAUGAGAUUUUAUGGAUUACUAGUUUAGAGAUUAGUGUUAUGAUUACUUUUGUUGUUUAUGAUAUUGUCAAUGACAAGUAUAGGACAAUACAAGGUAAAUUAUUACUGAUAUAUUCUCAAAUUUAGCUACAGUAGUUGACACACACAUAUAUUUUGGAUGCAGAUAUGGUAAAGUUAAAAGGGCUUCAUGCAAGGAAGAAAGAGUGGGGUUGUAACAAAGUUAAUUUCACUUCCAUUUCUAUUUACCUUGAAUUGUUGUGUAUUUGGAGUUGACAUUUUUGUGAUGGACUCUAAUAAUUAAUAAUAAAGAUAUGGGAAUUAGAAAGGGGAUAUUUUUUUGGUUGAUCAACCAACCAACAAGUUAUCAUUCAUGCAAAUUCCCCAACUUUUCAAACCUUAUAAAUAAGGAUCCUUAUGAACCUAAUUCUUUUUCUGUGGAGAAUUACAAUUGGUAUGUAACUAAAAUGCGUGUGAUAUUAUUAUUAUUAUGGAAGUUCUGAAGAGAGAUAUGGGUAUGAUAAUAAUAAUCCAUGGUGCUCAAGACUUCAAGAGUUCAUCUACAUACACUUUCUUUCUUUAUAAUGAUACUCUCAUCGUUGAAGUCAAAAUUAAUAAAAUUUCCAGACCUUGAAAACACUACUCUUAAUUUACAAGGAUAUAUGGAAUUAAUAUAUUAAUAAAAUUUCUAUACCUUUUCUUUUUUUUCAUGAAAAAAUAGUUUAAACUAUAUCUCCCACCCCAUUUAUACAUGGCACAUUUUUUAAAAUAACAAAAUAAACUAAAAUACUUGUAAAUUUUGGAUUCUACCUAUCAUACUAUUCUAUCACUAUAGCAUAUGAUUGACUAUCACGCAUCAAAUUUGUUAUAGGUUGUAAAGAUUUUGUAAAAUUUGUUAUUUUUAAAAAUUCCUCUCCUUUAAUCUCGUAUAGAAUUAUUGAAAAAUUAUAAUUUUUUUUGUCAAAUUAUUUUUUUAUACUCGAGGAAUAAAAAAAUCAUAAAGCUUUGAUUUUAUUUUUUUUUACCAUUAAUUUUUUUUUCAAAUUUUUAAGUUUUAAAAGAUAAUUCUAGCUUUCCAAUUUAGUUAAAUUGACCAAGAAACAAAAUGGUAUAUAUAUUUUUUGACAUGGUCGGGAACUGAUAGAAUUAUGUAAAGUAUUUCGUAGAGUGGUCUUGAAGGAUACUUAACUAAACAGCCUUGACAAAAAAAAAAAAAAAAAUUGUAGUUUACCCCCUUGACGAAGCAUGGGUGUCGAACCCAAGAUAGUGUAAGAUAGACACUUUCUUGAAUGUAAUGAUCGAGAAGAAUGACAUUAGUAACAAAAAUAAAAGAAAAGCAUUGAAAAUAACUUUUGGAAAAAUUAUAAGGCAAAAUGAGAAGAGGAAUUUAGUUUGCAAUACAAUUCACGAAAAGGGAUUAAAGAUUGAAUUCCAUGUAGAGAAAUGAGUAAUGGACUUAGGCAUGGAUCUAAUCUUAUCAUUGAAUCAAAGAAAAUAAAGGAAGUUGAAUCUUGCUUAAUUAAGAGGGGAUUUUUUAUUCAAGAUCAAAUUGCUUGAUCUUGGAGGAAUUUUGACUCAAAAUUCAAGAAAUGAGAUGAAUUUCAUGGGGAUUAGUUUAAUUCUUACGAUCUUAACUAAACCCGUAAUUGUUAUUUAAAAAAUAUUACAAGAUCAUUCAUAAUAUUGCAACCAAGGAUGAUUCUGAAAGGUAGAGAAUUUGGAAGAAAUUGGGAAUGAUUUUUGGAAUAACAGUGAAUUGAAUUGAAUUCUAUAUGAAUUUGGGAGAUUAGGGAUAUUUAUAGGGAAAAUUGGGGGAUUACAGCAAAUGGGCCCAAAAUUACACUCUCAAGUCUCGAGAAAUUUAAAAAAAUUGACAAACAAUUAUGAUAAAACAAUUAUGAUAAAACAAUUAUGAUAAGAAUUGAGAAUAGAUUAUCUUUAAACCGAUGAAGAUUUGCCCAACAAUAUAUUAAAAAAAAUUAUUUGAUAUAUAUACAACACUAACUAUGUAUAUAUUAGCAUUAUACUCAAAUAAAGGAACCAUUAAUAAAGGAAAAUAGAUAAAUUUGAUAACCUAAUAAUAAUAAUUUUAAAUAAUAAAAAAAAACCUCAAAAAGAAAAAAAAAAAAAAAGGAGUAUUUUAAACCAUAGAAACACAAAUGUCUUUUAAAACUUUUUCUAAGAAGUAUUUGUAUAUAAGUUUCUUUAGUUUGUUAUUAUUAUAAAAUAUAUUUAAAUUUUAUUAAAAAAAUUCAAGGUUUGAUUAGUGUCGAUAAGUUGGUCACUGGUCGACGGUGGUCAUCGAACUUGGUUGUCGAAAGUUCGUCGAUGGUGGUUGGAGAUUGGCUGGCAACAAUCAUUGGAGGUGGUGUUCGAAAUUGUUCGACGAAAUUCCCAAAACUUUGGGUGGUUGACAAACUUGCCAACUCUUAUACAAAUAAAAUAGGGUUGGGGGUGAAGAAAAUUGAGAUGAGAAUAAGACUGGUAGGAAUAAAUUUGAUAAGUGUAUAUAGUUAUGAUGUAUUAACUAGCAAUAACAAAUUAUGGUAAGAGUUGAGUUGAAGUGAGAUAUGGAGAAAGAAAAAAGAAAAAAGUAAUGAUUUUGGAUGGGUAUAGUUGAUGGAAGAGCAUGUUUAUCUCAUACUCUCUUAUUCCUAUUCACAUCCCAAUUAUUUUAAUCAAAAGGUUUCUUAACGACAUUAGAUUAUUUUAAAUCCUAAUUAUGGUCUCCAUUGUCUGAAACAAAGGUAGAGUUAGAGACUUAAUACUUUUUACUCUCAUUCCAAAAAGCUACAUCUGUUUUAGAAUGUGGAGAUAGGCCAUCAAUUAGGUUUUAUAAAGGAUAUAAUGCCAAACAAAACAAAUUUUAUCCUUGAUAGUUUGCGCAGAGUGAAUCAAUUUAUUUGUUUAUUUAUUUCAUUUUAUCUUAUUUUUUUGCACAAUUAUUGUGAUGCAUUAAAUAUGCACAUAUAGCUUUAGAUGUUAUUUACUUUUAGAACUAUAUUAAUGGGUUAGAUCCUGGUAUAUGACGACUUUCAAUUUUAAUUCUUCAUUGAACCGAAUUAGAUUGUUGCUACAAAUUGUACAAAUAUAAAAUUUAAAAAAAUAAAAAACUCUACUUUUCAACUUUGUUUACGAAUUUCUAUUAUCAAACAACUAACCCAAAAGCCACUCUCAUCUUUGCCGUUCUUCCUCCAAAGGCGUUAAUACCAAGGAAGCACAGCAGAUCAUGUUAACAGUAACAACGAGAAUCUACAGUCCAAUGGAACUUUUGACUCAAAAAAGUGAUCAAAUCAAAACGUCAUCCCUUUAUACAAUUUCUAUGUAAUUUCCACCCUAAACUUCUUGUAGAAUCCUUAAGAAAAGCUUCUCUCCAGUAAUUCUACAACAUUCCAUCCCUCCACAUAAAAAAGAAACUGAAAAUUAAAACUGCAAACUGAAUCACUUCAACAUAGAACCAUUUGAGCUAUUAAAAGAUUUUCUACUUCUAUUGUCCCCUAUGGAAUCAAGUUCACAGCAAAUUUCCAUAGAUAUGAAUCACCUCUAUUCUCUCAUCACAUCAAUUAACGAAAGAAAUCCUGAAAUCAACGGCUUACCAAUUUGCAUCAUAAUGCAGACUGCAUCACCAGCCAACAGCUCUAAGACUGAGAAUAAUGUUGGGACGACAAUUCUUGGCCUUACUUUUCAGGCAGUUUUGGCUUUGUUCAUUACCUCGUCCACUUCAUCUCCUCCGCUUUUGACACAUCUCUUUGGGGCUGCAGUCUUGAUUAGCUUUGCAGUUUCAUUUCCUGGAGUUUUCCUCCAAGAUGGAUUCCCGAGAAUCGCACUUCUGUUCGAAAAGAUCGGUGCUCUUAUUGCUGCAAUUGGUGUGUGCAUCCUAGCAAGUCUUCUAAUCCAUCAGAACUUUGCUUGGAUCUCUUGGCUGGCUUGUGGCUUCUCCUUGAUGGCUUUUUUGCUAUCAUUUAGAGGGUAGUUUCAUCAGAUUAUUGGUUCUUUAGCUUGUUCAGUAAGAUGUUAAUAUCAUCUAAGAAACAAAGAUGGCAGCAUCAAGAAAGAUGGGUCGUCUCUAUGGUUCAUACAAAUAUGGAGGAACCACAUAUUGGCUGAAGCUUAGUCAUCCUAAAAAAAAUACACAGAUUUGGUAAUUGGAAGUGGAAUUGGAAUGCCAAUGCCGCAAUGUUGUUAUAUUGUUAGCAAAUAUAUAUAAGUAUGUUCUUCAUCUAUGUUAAAUGGGGAUAUAAAAUGGAAAAAAUAUGAGAUCAAUCUUUACAAGAACAUUAGCAGGAAAGGAAUUCUCCAGAGCUUAAAAGAAAAGUGUCCAACCUAAACCAUAUUAGAAAGUUAAAACAGAAUUUCACUUUUUCGUCUCUAUUUCUAACUCUUAACCAUUUGAAUGCAAAUAAAUGAGACGAAUAACAAGAAAAGGAGAGAUGUAUAUUGCAAAAUGAUCAAAAGGCCCGUGGGGGAAAAUUUCCCAUCACUGCUGGAGAAAUUAAAAGAAAACAAUCAAACUAGAAACAUAAGCAUUAACUUAAAAAAAACUUCGAACCCGUGAAAAAAUUGUUACCGUCACAUAGAAAUCUCUUCUUGAUCAAUUAAAAUAGCACUCUCUCGAAGCAUUACAUCACUUGCAUAAUUGAGCGUAUAUUACACUUAAAUGCUUCGAAUUGGGAUGAUUAGAAACCAAAGGUAUAGACUCCUUAGACUAAUAGAUGCAAGACAAUUGUACUUUUAAUAUUUUACCAAAACUCAACAAGUUUCCUACGGAACAUGAAUUUUAGAGCUCCAGUAUUUAUUAUUUCCCCAAAGUUAUUAGGAAAUAUUCAAACUGAUAGAGAUAAACAUUGUUCAGAAGAAGGAAAUAGAUUUAGAAAAAAAGAAAAACAAUAAUGGUAACCUUACCUUCAAAUAGAAAUCCCAAUCAUAUAUAUCCUAUGAUGCAAAACAGAUGCAAAACAGCAGAGCAAUUAGAGAACUUUGAAGACUAGAAUGAUGUAGAAUCCAAAUAACAAAUGUUGAGUUUACACUUAUGUAGAGGCUGCCUAAAUAAGCAUGUGAAUAAUAAAUAGGAAAAAGAAGCAUUAUUCAUCCAUGUAAACAUCCACACUCAUUUUAGAAACAGAAAAAAAUCAAAUUUUAAUUACAGGACUAAACGAAAGUCCUAGGAUUGGCACACAAUCUAAAAAGCAAAAUCUAAACUAAUGAUGAUAUUAAGUGAGCUUGAUGAAAGGGAAACAACAAUCAGAGAACUUUAAAGGCUUGCACGAAAUGGGUAAGCACAUCAUAGCUUCACCUCAAAAGGCCUCAUCAUCUCGAAUGGCUAUUUUACAUACUUUACCAAAUAGAAAAGAGUGAGAUCAACUAAGUAAAAUGUUUUCUAAAGAUAGGUUACAAGAGGUCUUUAAAAUCGAAGACAUCGAGGAGACAAAACUUAACCAAAGACCAAACGGCAAACAUCAUCAAUAAGGGCCCUCCCCAACCCACUAAACACCCUGUUAUUUCUGUCUCCCUCAACCCAUGACAAAGUUGCAACUUAAUAGUAGUCUGAAACUGGUUGGAAACCAUUGACAGGCCACUUGAGUGUGUGGCAGCAAUACCACUCUUCUAUCUUAAUGAACAGAUCCAUAGCUUUAUGAAACCAAUAUUAAAAAAAACAAGAAAACAUAAACAAUAAAGAAAUCGACACAAGGAUUUACACAGUACAUUAACAGUGGGUAUUCAAGUGCAGAAGGAGAGAGUAGUAUAUUAAUAGAGAUUCAAGGCCUUCCAACAAAUAGUAUGGAUAUCAAAUUGUAGGAUCCCACAGACCAGAGUGUAACAUAACAACAUCAAAUGGGUUAUAACUUAUAAGCACAAGAAACUAAGAAAGAAAAUGGCAGGGUGCCCUAAGUCAACCUAAAAUUUGACAUCACAAACUAAAAAGUUAGAACAUAAACCAUAAGAAACUCCACAAAUAUGUUAUUAUCACGAGUAAGUCUUGACACAAUUUUGCGAUAAUAGGCAUUAAAAAGUACUUUUUCCAGCACAAGCAAGCCAUUGUUUGUCGGAAGAAUAGAUGAUCCAAUAUGGGAUAUCAAUGACUAGUAACUAAUUCGAACAACUUCUACUUCACCUGCAUAGAAAAGGAUCUAUGACCUAAAUAGUCUUCAUGGGCUCUGAAAUCCAAUGAUUUAGGUACCAAGCGAGCAGUAAAUCAAGGGCAAUCCAUGAUAUAUACUCAUGGGUUUAACUUUUAAGAACUUGGACAGCACGUUCAGGUUACUUGGGUCACAUACAUGGUUACAAAAAUUGAGAUUGUUGGUAUACAAGAUCUUGUGCUGGUGGCUGUUGAUGACAUAUUGCCAUGUCGGCUAUUGUUCUUGUUUGUCUAAGUUGUAUGGCGUCCAACGAUUUAUCUAACGUCAAUAGAUAAAGUUUUUCCUUGUAGGAGAUGAGUUUUCUAGAUUCUAGAGUUUAGGACAUACUCAUUUAACAUUUUUGUCCCUUUUGUUUUGUUUUAUUUUAUUUUAUUAUAAUCGAUCACAAUUUUAAAUAUUGCAAAAUUAUCGUUGAUAGACUUAGAUCAAUCAAUAUUUGCAAUAUGGUCCAUCCGUGAUACACUCCUACCUUUAAUAGAAUUUGACAAAUUUUGUUAUAUUUACAAAUUUUUUUAAAUGUUGCUACAUACUCAAUUAAUUUGAAUCUAAUCGAUAAAUUUGCAACUAUCUCAUAUAAUUAAAUAAAUAUUGACAAUCACAAGUAUCAUUUUUUUUCUUAUAUUACAAUUCUAGUUAUUUUCAACCAGAUAUUCAAAUUUAAGUUUAAGUUAAUAUUCUAGUAAAGUUGAUGUUUUUAAACGGUUGGCAUAAAUGGUGUAUGUAUAAAUUUAAUAAUGGGUUCAAAUUGUUAUCAAUAUGAUAGAAAGACGAUGUUAAUAAAUGAUUAAGAGGUCAUGAAUUUAAUCUUAUAUAACUUAUUUAAAAUUCAAUAUCUUAUCGGUUUUCAUACCUAGAUAUUGUACGAAUUGUUCCAUGAAAUUAAUUAAAAGUACUACUUGCUCAAAUCUCACUUUGUCCCAUAGCUACAUAUAAAGUCUGUGACACAAUACUAUCACGUACAUGAAAGAUUUAUUCACCGCUAUGUUAAAAUUCAUACCUUACCCUACCCCUAAAAUGAUAAAUUGGCUUAUUUUUAGAAAUAAAUAAACUAAUUAAUGAUGUUGAUAACUACGUUAAAGUUUAUUCGUAAUCUAUAUAUUAUGAACUUGCAUAAUAGUAUGUUGUUCAUUUUGAUCGAUCUUUAAGGUUAACACAAUUUUCCAACUCAUACGUUCACUUGUAGGAAUAAGAAAUGGAAUCAAAAGAAAUUUUUGCUUGGAGAAAAUCAAAAUUUUAGAAAAUGAAGAGAAGAACUCCCAACCUAAUAUAGUUUGUUGAGAAACUACCCUUAGAAUCAUCAAACAUUUGCAAUUAUGUUCCAUAUUUGUGGCUUUCCAAUGUAUGAAAAUUAAUUGAAACUCCUCCAUUAACCAUCAAAAAGUUGGAGCGAUAGGUGCGAUUGACAAGGAUGAAUGUCAAAUGAAAAGAAGAAAAACAUACUAAAUAGAAGAAAAUAUUGAGAUGGAAGUACAAAGUCAUCCAUCUAAGUGACAAAUAGGCAUGUUAGAAUUAUUAGACAUAGUUCUUUAUUAUCUCAUGGUAUAUCAUCUUUCUCGCUCCAUUUUGACAAUUGUAUUAUCGGUAGGAGAUAAUAGUUGCUAUCACAUCGGAACAUAAAAUCGUAAAAAGGGUUCGUUUGGUAACUUUUCGUCUCCAAUUUUGUUUCUAUCUAUGCUUUCUUUUAUUUGAAAGUUUGUUUCAUCUUAUGGAUUUGGUCAUUUAUUACAAUUUAUGAUACAUAUCUAGAAAACAAAACUAUAUGAAUAUGGGAUAAAUUAAUAUUAUUUUGAUGUCUUAAAUUUAGGCAAGGGUCUAUUUAUCACUUCAAAAUUUGACUUCACAUUCCGCCUAGGUUGACAGUCAUGAAAUGUCAGAAAAUGAAUAAAGUAAUGUUGUUAGGUGGUAGUUGAGCUAAACUAUUGUUAGCAAGUUUGACAUACUUGAUGACUAAAAAUUAUUCGACAUAUUAUAGCUUUUAACUAUAAUAGUAUAUGUUUUUCGGUUGGCACCAACGCUACUAUAUUGAUGGCCAAAAAGGGAAAAAAAAUCAACCACAAAUAAAUUAUUUAAGGGUCAUGAGUUCAAUCUUCGACGAUCAUCUAUCUAAGAUUUAACAUAUUUUUAGUAUUUUUAUAUUCAAAUACUGUAGGAUUAGAUGAAUACGUCAUUUCUUAAAAUUAUUCAUCAGUGCACAUAACUAAUUUAAUUUCCACACUCACGAAUAAAAAGAAAAGCCUAGCAUUCAUAAACCAUAUUAGUUUACUUUAAUCAUGUUGUUGCAUUUCAAUAGAGCUAAGCGUCGUUGUAAGAAAACAUGCAAACACAUAAGCAUGUUAAUAAACUAGUUGAGUCACGUUUUUCGACUCUACUAGGAUGUGGAACAUAUUUCAUGUGCCACGUCGUCCUUAGGAUAAAAAUAAACCUCUACUUUUUUCAGUAGGAAUUGCACUAGAACUAAUUGGUAUACCAACACUCAAUAGAUAUACUUGUUUGCUUGAAAAACUAAAAGAAAACAGAACUUGCCAAAGUAGGGAGAGAGAGAGAGAUGAGAGAGUUUGAAAUGUUUGUGGUGUGUCAAAUGAGAAGAGAGGUGGGUAUAUAUAUUGCAAACCCUAGUUCUUGAACUCCCUAAAGUUUUAGGUGAUAAUCUUUAUGAGAGGUUAAGUGUUUGUUAUUCUUUGUUAGGUGGGAAGAAGAAAAUAAAUUUAGCUAAGUAUGGAAGAUGUAGUUGAUGGCCAAAAAGGAAAGAAUAAGGCUUGUUGGUUGAGAAUUUAAUAAGUCUUGAGAGGUUAUGCUCAGGGCUUAGUCAUUGUGAGGAUGUCCUAGACGAGAGGGUUGGUGCUUGGCGUGGAGAUUCUAGGCGUUGGGGCUUAAGACCAGACGAGAUAAUUCCAAAGAGGUUAUCUAGGCGAUGGAAACUAGUAAGUGAAAGCUUUGUGUAUUAUCUUUUGACCGUGAGUGCAAGCUUGGUGAGGAGACUUGGGCUACGUAAGGAAGGGCUUACACGCUAGGAAGCUUGCAGCCAAGGAGAUUGUAGGCGAUGGGAUUUGCGAGCAAGCAAGCUCUAGGCAAGAGGAGGAUUUAAGCAUGUUUUAACUGUUUUACUUAUAACAUGGAUUUAAGCAUGUUUCUGUCAUUUCAUUAGCCACUCGCUGGGCUAUUUAACUCACGUUUUUAUAUGUUUUCCAACUUUCAGGUAGAGAUCGUGGAACCGAUACCUGACUCCAUUUUCCAAUCUGCUAGUGGCAUAGUUUUGAGUCCCCUUCAAUAUGUAUUGCUUUGAGUUAGUCUCUUAGGUGGUUUGUAAGCUUGGAGUUUUGAUCAUGGGGUGUUUGAGUUUGUUUAGUUUAACUUUGGUGUUGGCUGUUUGUAUAUAUGUUUAUAUCAGACUCGUGAUGUUUAGUAUUAUGUAAUUUUGGGCUUCACUACAGUAAUGUUAUGUUGUUUAAUGGGUGAAUGUGUGUCUUUAUGCUCCACUGAGUUUCUAUUUUAAGUUAGAGAUAAGUUUAUGAUCGAUUGGUGUAGUUGAGGUAAGUUGUGAUAUCUGUUGACUAGUUGCAUCAUCUCUUAGGCUAAGAGUUUGUGGCUUGGAAGGGGGUGUGACAUAUAUAGUGGAUGGGGAAGGCUACCAACGGUCUGGUAAUAAUGAGAGUAACUGUUCGAUAUUAAGACGGUCAAAGAAAACGGUCCAACAAUCUAAUGAAAUUAAUAUAAAAUUUCAAAAUAAAUUUAUAGCAGAAAAAAAUUAUUUUAUUCACUCGAAUGGAAGGUGGUGACACGUGGAGAUGUUUGGAAAUCCACUUUUGCCUAUCUCCUCACAUCUUCCAAAAUCUAGGUUAUUAGGGACGUGAGAAAACCUAAUUUAAAUAAAAUAAUAUUUGAAUUUUUGCUUUCUAAAAUUUUUGAUUAAGAAAACCAAAGUGAAAAGAAGUAAUUUGAACAUAACCAAUUGAGUAAAAUCUGCCCCAUCACAAUUCAUAAUACACUAAAUACAGCACAAUAUCACACCUUUCUGCUGUGACAGAUCAAAUUCUACCCUCUUCUGAUAGACACAACAUUGUUACAUUGAGAUUGGUCCAAUACCAAUCAAAAUCCACACCGUACCUUUAGAAAAAAAAGAAAAAAAAAAGACCAUACCCUACCAUACUUGUUAACGAUAAUUUUAAUCUCUCAAAAAUAAAAUAAAAAUGGAAAAGAAGAGACUGAGAUGAUACUUUUUUGAGAAGUGGAUCCAAAUGAAUAUUAUGAUCAGCCUAAAAAAAGAACAAAUAAAAGUUAAAAAUAACGAGACCAAAAUAAUCUAAUAUUUAAAAGAAAGAAUGAAAUUUAAUUUUAUAAACUUAUUUUUUAGUCUAAUGAUUACGUGGUAGAAAUGAAGAAUGAAAUUUAGAGUUUACAGUUGGUUUAAUGUGAGGUUAUUUGACAAUAGUAACCAAAUAUUGAGUUAGGGUGAAAUUGAAUUGAGUAUAUGGUUGAAGAUUUGUGUCACACCUUGACCUUUUACCCUAUAUUAAUAUUACUCAUCUUCAACUAACAUUUGUAUUUUAGCCACAAAAAUUUAAAAGUAACUCAGCCUUCAGCUUUGCCUUCACGUGUUCAGCUUUAUGGCUCUCAAUCAUUCGUCUCUCUACAGUAAAUCAAACUAUCAUACGCCUCUCGAUGCCUGCAAUCAACACCCGAUCCUUCCUCAAUUCUUUAUGUAUAAUACUCUCUCGGCUUACGUUAGCGAUAUCCACUCUCCCAUGGUUGACUCUGACGCCUGAAAUGGAAACCGGUGGUGGUUAUACCCUCUGUUGAAGUCUUCGUUUCUCACCGGCAUACUCCACGCAUCCGGAUUUUUCCUUUUUCUUCAAGGUAAGCAUUUUUUUCUCCCGACAAUUAUGGUUAAGGAAUCGAUUUGAGAGCGGUUUUUGUACCGGAUGGAUUUUUGUUCUCCAUGCAGUGUUUCUUCUGUCGGUUCCUUUGGAAUGAGAUUUUGUGUUCUUGAAUUAGGUUUUUCUGUUUUUGGAAUCGUUUCUGGAAUUGCAGGUGCUAGAAUGGCUAAAUAAGUAAGAGUAGGGAGUUUGUGGUUUAUAAGAGUACUGUUUGUGAUGAUUUCCAAUUUAUCAGGUUUUUAUAAGAUUGAGCUAUGGGGAUGAUGGAUGAGAAUGUUUGCCAUCGAGAAUCUCAAAGACUUGAAAUGCAAGAAAUGGAGUAUACUAUGAAAACUUUGACUAAACUAGAAUUGGACUUGGCGUAUUCAUCGGAGAAGUUGAUGAAUCUUCAUGUGCUUCUGAUGUGCCUACUUGCUCAGGAGAAUGAUUUUGAGGCUAUGGAUUUGGUGCAUGAUUAUAUACCGGAUGAUUCGUUUGGGAAGGUGUUGGUGUUUGAUUUUUUGUCCGGCUUUUUGGAUUCGGAAGUGAGGGAGCUGGAUAGUUUCAUGAAUACACUCGAAGCAGAAACAGUUGAUGCCCGUGGAAUGGUAUCUACUUGCUUACAAUCAACUGAGGUUUUCAGUGUGUUGGAAGGAAAAUUGCUUGAUUCGGAGAAGUCGCUUGUUCAAUCCCGAAAGCAGAUUUUGGAAGUGAAGAUGCAGUCAACCAAAUUGCAGAGAAUUGUUUUAAGCAGUGGAAAUUGUUCGUGAUUUUUUCUUUUUAUUCAGUUUUUAGUGACCUUAGAUGAUGAAGAAUUGACUACUUUGUAAUUCUGAAUGCUCUGCCUUUGUGACAGGGAGAUUGGAAGAUCCGAUGAUGUCGUCACAAAAUGAUCAAGUUUUCAACAUAAACGGGAAAUCAAAUACAAUGACUGAACAGCAAAGGCAUAUUUUAAGGAUGCUAGAAAAAUCACUUGCAAGGGAGCUAGAUCUCGAAAAGCAGUUGUCUGAAUCAAAGCAACGAGAAGAAGAGCUCAAAAUGAAGCUACACUAUACUGAACAAGUUGCUUUGAGAAUGGAAGAGACUGCAGAAGUUGUUUGGGGUAGGUUUUUAGAGGCAGACAAUAGUGUCGAGAUACUCAUGGGGAUUUCAAAGGAAUUUGUUGGCCGCCUCCAGCUUGUCCAAUUCAAUCUACAUGGUUCAUUUCAACGUGAGAACGAUAUCAAAGCUAAAUUUCAAGAUUGGACGGAGCAGCUAAAUGCAAAAGAGGUGGCUAUACAGAAGCUUGAGAAAAGGAAUGCUGAACUAAUUGCCAAGAAUGCUGAACUAGAUAAAUUGAGGGAAGAAGUGAAGUCCCUUGAGGAACAGCUUAAAGAAUCUAGGCUUGAUCUGAAAAGUGCAUAUGACUCAAAUGAAGCAAGUCAAGAUCAGCUUAUUGAAAUGGAAAAUCUUGUUGAGACACUGAAAGAAAGCAUCUGCAUAUCAGAAAAUAGAGCAGAGGGUGCUGAAACCAAGCUUACACAGCUACAAGAGACAAACUUGGAACUUACCGAAGAGGUGAGUUUUCUUAAAGAUAGUGUAAGCAACAAAGAGAAAAAGGUUGGUUCACUUGAAAAGCAGUUGAGGGAACUAGAGAUUCAACUGCAGCAUGCAAAAUCAUCAUCAGAAGCAAGUCAGGAGCAACAAAACAUGUUAUAUUCUGCAAUAUGGGACAUGGAAACUCUCAUUGAGGAUCUUAAAUCCAAAGUAUCUAAAGCUGAAAGUAAGACUGAUAGUGCAGAGGAGCAUUGCAUUAUCUUGUCUGAAACCAACUUCGAACUCAAUAAAGAACUUACUUCGCUCAAGGGUCAAGUGGAGUUCUUAGAGAAAUCACUGGAUCAAGCCAAUGGUGAAAAAUAUGCAAAUGCAAACGAAAUUAACUUGAGUUCCAAGUUUGUCAUGGACAUGGUGCUCCAACUAGCUGUUGAAAGGGAUCGGAUUCAGAGCCAGGUAUUACUUUACAGAAUCAUUUAACCUUUAUAAAUUUGGCUAUAUAAAGAUAUUCAGUUGGCUGCACUCAUCACAAUAAUCUAAUAAACACUUAACUGUUUCAUCCAUGUAAGACUGAAGAAAAAACAGAUUGUAAAUAUUCUUAAUUUUCAAUUGCAACACUUUUACCCAGUGGCCUCUUUGAAUCAACUGUUGCUUCUGCCUUCCAUGAUUUCAGUAAGUUGUUGGAAGCAAUUUUUAAUUUUUCAUGAUAUUAAAGCUCGGUCCUGAAUGCUGAUAAACAGAUAAAGUAAGCUGAAUUAGUUUCAGCUAUAAUAUUUAUUUUUUCUACAUACAAGAGGCAUAUUUCUCGAGAGCUCCAGAAAAGUCAUCUCGUCCAAACUCUAUUUGCUCAUGCAGCUAUCCAUUUUGACGAACGAUAACAAAGCUCUGAUUGAGAAAUUGAAAAAUGUAAGAGAUAGUGCACCUAUAGUCACACUUCACAGAGAAGACUACGACGAGAAGGAGCAGUCAGCUCCAAAGAAGGAUGUAAAUAUACUGGCUCAAUGAUAUCUGAGGAAACUUUUAUGAGUCUUUACGAAAAGGGGUCAAGAGGCAGGUAGUCUUUCUUGUAAAUCAAAUUGAAUUACUUCAUGAGUACGUACAACAACCAAUUUGCUCAACUGAAGAAUGUUUGUAUCUAUGAUGUCUGCUUCUAAUUCUACUACUUUUUCUUCUUCUUGGGCAUCAGAUUACUAAAGCACCUUAUAAAAGCACACCCAAGUGUUGGGCUGAAGGUACUUCUUCUGUAUCCAUCAGUUAACAUGCUGAGAAUGUCUCAAAACCUAAAGUUGUGAGGGUGGCCAGGUACAAAGAUUUUUGUGUGUAUUCUUCUUAUUAUUUUGUUUUACUUCUUUUAGUAUCACUGUAUUCUUUUAUCCAGAGUCUUCCACGUUCUAUGGUUUUUUGUGGUUAAAAUUUCCAUGGCCUUUGGACCCAAAGAAAAAAAAGGAAAAACUUUCAUGGCCAUUGCCCCAUGUAUUCCAUUGUUGUUGUCAAAUAGAUUUCUGUUAGGAGGUUGUGUUGGUGGCUUUCCACUUAUAGUGAGAUUGUGCUAUAUUCUCUUCAUUGGUCAAAUGUGAAUAUAAAACUAUCGUAUUUGGAUGUAGAUAUAUGUAUUUGGAUUUGGCUUCGUUCCCUCUUGGAACUUGAAUUUGAGGGUGUUUUGAAACUCACAGUAACUGACGGAGGGUAAUGUAUUCCUAAAUUCAUGUUUGAAUUGAGUGUUUUGAGCUCGAAUUGAAAUAUUAAACUCAUUCAUUUGGACAGUUUUCUAUCUUUGUUUUCCAUCGUUUAUUACAGUUUCAUUUUUGUUUCCCCUCAACUUAACAUGCAUUCUAACACUCCUAUGAUCUCUUAUAAUUAUGUUUACAUUUCAGUUCCUCAAAUACCUCUUUGUAUUUUAUUUGGUUGAUCUGAGAUGUUGUCAUUUGAGCUAACUUUCUCUCCCUCCUUUUUUUGGUUACAUUUUUCCGUGCUUCUACUUUGAGCCUUUUCUUUUUGUUAGUAUUUCAAGUCUCUAGUUAUUGACUUAGUUAGAACAUGAAAGAAAUAUAAUAGAUUACUAUUAUAGUCAUUCUGAUCAUAGUAUUAGAUGUUUGUCGACAUAUUGAUAGUCACACAUUUCUAUGAAUUUGAUAUUCACGUGAAUGGUGAAUUGAUAUGUUCAUCAACAACAUCAGGUUUCUAUCAUUUUUCAAAAGAAAUAUAUAAUUAUUUGGUUAAUCUUCGUAAAUGUAACAAACCAACGAUAUAUUUACUGACUGUGUAACAAAAUGAAAAUGCUGGUCAUUUUUUAAAAAAAUAUUUCACAAAAUAUGUACAAAGAAUACUUAAAAAAAUCUAAACGAUCAUAUUUAAAAUAUAAGCUAUCUUUAAAAAAGUUAAAAAUUUGGAGCGUAUCAAAUUAUCGUGUUUCAACAAAUUUAAAUGAUCAAUUGUGUAGUGAAAAUAAAUCUUGUAUUGAAAAAAUGGUUUAGAUUUGGCUAUCCAAUCUUUUAGAUUUGGCUACCAUAUUUAAAGAUAGAAAAAAAAAAUAGAAUAGUCAAAUCUAUCUAAAUAAUUGAUUUCCAAAUAUAUUAAGAACUUGAUGCAAAUUGAUCUUGCAUCUUUUUUUUAUAUAUUAUAAUGGUCUGGAUUCUUUUUUGUUUUUAAAAUUGUUUGCGCAAAUAUCGUGAUUAUUUCAAACCAUUUUUAAAAUUUUUUGUCCUAAUUUAAAAGUUUGAAAAUUAGAUUGUUUUUAAAAAAAUUUAUCCUAAUUUAAAAGUUUGAAAAUUAGAUUGGGUGACAAAAAUAUGUAUUUAUAAAUGCAACCAUGGCUUUAGUUUUUAGAUUUUGUAAAUAUUAGCAAAAGGCGUAGGAUUUUUAUUUUAUGUUUUAUACCACUUUGCUUUCCUUUCUACCCAUCUCUCUCACCUAAUUUCUACCAAUAUUUUUUCAUCCACAUCUUUUAUCUUUUCAAUUUAUUUAACUAUCUUCUCUCUAUAUUUGAUUUAUAUGUUUAUUUAUUUAUUUAUUUACUUCCGUCUUUUUGUUUUUAGAUUUUCGCCUAUUGUUUUAAUUCAAUUAACAUGAUAGAUCUUUUUAUUUCAUUUUAAUCUUUAUUCUAUUUUUUCAUUUGAUGUAUGAGAUUUUUUUCAUCUAAGUUAGGUUAUUCUAUAAAUUGAUGUAUCAAAUUUAAACUAGAUUAUAUGACAGUUAUAUAUAAUAGUUUUUGUUGAGUGAGAAGUGAAAUCGUAAUUUUGGUUAAGUCAUCCUAUUUUAACUACAAAAUAUCUCAAGUGAAUCGAUAAUAUAAACAUCUGUAUUCUUAUGAAUUAUAUCAACCAUAUAUUAAUCAAGUGUAUAUUGAUUAAACAUGUGUAUCGUUAUAAAACUAUAUUGAGUAUAUGAGUAUUUGAUACACCUAACUGACCAAAUAAAUAAGUUUAUCUCAUUUUUAUUUUCUUAUUUAAUUUGGGACUUUUUUAAAAAAGAAAUUGUUUGUUUCCAACAUUUUCAAAGUUUGUUAAAUAUACUAUAAUAUUAAACAACAAUUAGAUAGAUAGAUGGACAUUAAAUAACACUCCACUCCGAUACUAAUAGACAUAAAUGAUGAAAAUAUCAUAUAAUAAUUAAACAAUAAUUAGAUAACAAUUAUAUUUGAUAUCAUUUACAAUCGAUAACUAUCAAUAUCAAAUAAAGUUUCGUUAUAAUCAAAUAAGAAUAGGUGUCAAAUGGUAACAAAAUAAUAUUAUUAAGAAUCACUAAUUGACAAAAAUAAAUCAGACAAUAUUAUAAACUACGAAAAAUUGAGUGAACAAAACACGUUAAAGAAUAAAAAAUAAUAUUAUAGCCAAUAAAAAAAUAAUUAUAACACUUAGAUUCUAUAUAUUUGAGUCUUCUAAGUCAAAUUUAAGACAUAUUUAAUAUUGAAAUUCAAUAUGUUUAAGUUUUUUUUUUUUUUGGGUGAAAUCUCAAGGUUAACACUGAGAUUCUGUAUAUACUCUAAUUUGAAAAAUCUAUUUUGUUAAUUAAAAAAUUACACUUUAAUUUGUUAUAACAAUGAUUAGAGAUAAUGAAAUUUGAAGAAAUUUUGAAAGAAUAAAAUUUAGUAUAAGAUUUUGAAGAAAUUACAUCAAGAGAGUAGCAAAUGUUAAUAUGGGGGUAGAUGUAUGGAUUUGAAGGAGGGACUAGGUUUUUUACCACAAAACCCCGUAUACGUAUUAUUGUUCUCUCACAAUUUUCCACUAAAACCCUAAUCCCUCAAACUUCUAUAAAAGCCCAUAAGUUGGUUCACUCACAAUUGCAACAACUUGAAAAGCUUUGCCCAUUGGGGCUAAUCUGGAGAUCAUCAUCUUCGAAUAUCCUCUCUCUGGUAAGCGGCGCAUUACUUAGCCAUUAGCAUAAAUAUUUGAAUUCCCUUUUACUUCAUGAUUUGAUGCACCGAAUAGCCCCUUGUUUCUUCCAGUUUAGUGACAAGGAAAAUCGAGAAAAGGGUAUACUUAUGGUGCUACAUUCAUUUUGGCUUUUACAUCUAUGGUUGUGGCGGAUUUUUUUCUCCAGCCCAACCCUGCUUAGCCAAAGAAACAACUAUAAACUCGUCUUAAGAAUGUUUACUUUCGAAAUGUCCUGUUCCCUUUUCAUGGGGUUGUCUUAACUUGACUCUAAAUAAUGUAAGAUAUAGCCAACAAAAUGAUGAGGUUUUUUUUGAGGUGAAUAUAUGAUGUGCCUAACUCAUAUUGUGCUAUGCCUUCAAAGUUCUCUGAUUGUUGUUGCCUUAUGUUUGUUCACUUUACAUUUUUUUUUUUGAAAAAAAAAAAGGAAAAUGUGAUUUUGAUAUCCUUUAAGGAUAAGUGAAUUGAUGCAGAUAUGUUUUUCUUUUUUAUUGAAUUGAUCAACUUGUUGUUAUAAGAGAAGCAGAGCAAGAUGAUGGAAACUUUAUUAUCUGAAAUUGAUGUGGAACUUAUAUCAUUCAUUCUGGUCUUCAAAGUUCUCUGAUUGCUUUGCUAUUUUGCUGUUUCACACCAUAUUAUAUAUAUAAUUGGUGUUUCAGUUUGAAUGUGAAAUUACUAUAUCCAUUAUUCAUUUUUUCACGUCUUUCAAAUUACCUCUUUCUUUUCUUCCAUUUUUUAUAGAUUAAUUAUGUAUGUUAACUGUCCAUUUAGAUAUUUUCAAAUAAUUUAGGGGAAGUAGGCAAUACAGGGUAGCACUUAAAUUCAUGGUCUGCAGGGAACUUGUAUCUCAGGCCAUACGAGCAUAGUGCGACAUUGAAAGCUCUCCUUUUCUUCUCUUUGUUGCCUCAGUUAAUUGCAUGAGAUUGAGGCAGAACUGGAAAGGACAUAAUGCAAUUAUCUUUUUUUGCUAAUCAGUUAUCUCACUUGGAGUUUACACGAUUCAAGUGUACACUUACCUCUGCAGCCUCUAGAGAGUUUACGUCUUGUUAUGGAUGGAUGUUAUUGUGAACCUUGAUUUAUUAUUGACUUUGUUGUAGUUCUCAUGUGUGUGCCUCACCCAUGUUGUAUGAAUAAUGGUGUAGUUUAUAGAUAUUUUCUAAUAAUAUUCAACAUAUCGUGCCCUUUCCACUAUUAAUUGCACUGACUAAAAAAUAUGUAAACUUUUCUUUUGUCGAAAAGAUUUUAAUUUAUAUCUUAGGAUGACUAAGCUUCAGCAAUAUGUGGUUUCUCUGCAUCAGUCUACUCCAACGAGAGAAUCCAUCUUUCUUGAUGCUGCCAUCUUUAGUGUACUAGUGUACUUUGAUGAAAAUAUAGCUACUUAUACUUCAAGCCUCCGUCUUUAGAACUCAAGAUCCAAUGGUCUGAUGACACUACCCUCCUCCUUUGUCCGGGCUUGGGACCGGCUGCGUGGAAGAAAUGAUGCUUAAGGCACGACACAGGCAGAGUUAUCAUGUCUUUACAUAAGUUGUAGAAUAACAUGAAUUUUCAGGGAAAUUGGAGCAGAUGUGGUCUUGGUGAUGAACCACACAAGGUCAAGAAACAGAGACUGUCAAAAGAGAUAAAAACACAUGGGCAUGGAUUCUACAGAAUUGCACCCUCUGUCCAUCUCCGGACAAUGGGAUGCAGAUUCUGUCAUAUUCACUUGAAUGAUAUAAUAAAGGCUGGCAAGAUGAGGCCAGCCGCCAGCCAACAGAUCCAAGUGAAGUUUGGAUAGAGUAGAAGACUUCCUAUGAUGCAGGUACCAAUUGCAGCAAAUAGAGCACCGAACGUUUGCAACAGCUGUGCAGUUUUUGGGAAUGGCUUUUGAAGGAUAACUCCAUCAUAGGAAAAUAUGAAGGAAGUCAACAUAACAGCAGCAAAAAGCCUUGAAGGAAGAGGUGAAGAAGAUGAAGGGUUUAAGCUGAGAAACAAGCCUACAAUGGCCUGAAAAGUUAAACUUAGAAAUGUGUUCCCAAACUGAGGGCUGUUGACUGGUGAAGGCCUCUGCAUUUUGAUGUAAAUUGGCAGGCAAUCUGAUGCUGCUCCCCCCCACGUACAACUGCUUAUUCCAGGAUUUCUAUUUGUGACUGCAAAGAUCAAGGAAUUGAGUUUAUUCAUGUCUAGGGAGAUUUCAUGUGGUGGUGUUUCUGCCAUUAGGAAACAAAAAAGAUUUGAUCAAUACUCUAAAGUGGUUUCCUUGGACUAAUUCAGUCCUCCAGUCUCCUUUUAAUAUUGCAUGGAGUAUUCUAGAAUAUAAUGAAGAAGUUUUU
rnacentral:lncRNA from 1 species